UGGGUUGGGGAGAAGAAUUGGAGGAGGUGAAAGAAGUAUGAUUUCCAUGGGAAUUCAUCGAUCAUUUUCAUUUAGAAAAGCUUGUUUCAAGAGAUUUGGGAAGAUCAUAAAUGUCUAAACCAGACAUGUUUUAUGGAGAUAUUCAAGAUAGUUGAUCUUAAGUCCUUAAUAUGACACCCAAUAUGAAAUAUUAAGGCUAGGACCCAACAAACUAUUUUAUAACUUAGAAGAGGGAUGCCGUAAUCCAAGCUAUAAAAUAUUUGAAGGUAGGUGAAUGACGAUUCACCAAUUUCCACCAAGAUAAACGAAAUGUAUUAUUAGGUUUUAAUUGGUUUUGAAACUCCUAGAUCUUUGAGAUUCAUUGAACUGUUCAAAGGCAUGUUUCAAUCUCGAGUGUGCCCUUCAGGUUUUGUGACUGGGAUGCCGAGGAUCACAAAACAAGGUGUGAAGUAACCAUGCAAAUCACUUGGUACCCUUAAUAAAUUACCCCUCAAUCGAUGUGCCGGUUAACCACACACGCUCCAUCGAUACUAUGAUAAAUAUUAAGUCACCCUUUACCUACCUUGUUAAGUCCAAGUUAGUGUGCCGGUUAACCACACACGCUCCACUAACGACUUAGACAAAGUGUAAAGUGUAAUUUCAUGGAUUAGCACCUUAUUCACAUUUUUCCUAAGUAACUAAGAUUGGGUAUUAUUAAGAGUUUAGUUACUUAGUAUUAUUCUUAAUACUUUUAAUGAAGGGAGAAUUCUAGUCCUGUCAAACCCGUUCGGCUAACGACCCUCCACCAGUCAAGCAAGCGGUGGGUGAGAGUGGACACCCAUUAAGUUGCCAUUUUAUAGGCAACAACCUUAUACCCACCUUAUAGACCGGCUUCGUGAAUGAGGCGUACUAGCGGUAAGACUGACUUUACUCUUAUACAUAUAUAUAUUAUUAACUUAUAAUAUUAUAAAGUAUAAGGGUUGAAUUUUAACUUUUAAAAUUCUAAGGGCUAACUUGGAAUUAAAGUAUUCAUAAGUGAAAACUUUACAAAUUCCAAAACUUGAGGGCAAGUUUUGAAACUAUUCAAAACUAAUUAAUUCCAUAACUUAUGUGUUUAAAGUAGUUUUAAUCCAAAAACUCUUCAAGUUCCAUAACUUGAGGACAAGUUAUGGAAGACUUUAAACUAAUAAAAGAAUUAACUUUUCUUUAUUUUAUAACUUAUGGAAUUAAUUAAGGUUACACUUUUUUUUUUUUUAUUUUAUUUUAUUAAAUGAAGAGACUCUUGGUCCUCCAUAACUUGAGGACAAGUUAUGGAGUCAUAAAACCAUUUAAUUAGAACUAGACUCUUCAUUUUUGUAACCUUUGCCAAUUUUUAUGAGUUUUAUGAUUCUUAAAUGUGACUUUUCAUAUAACUUGAGGACAAGUUACAAAAACACAUUUUAGAAUCAAUUCUUAGAUUAAUUUGGAUUAAAACCAACUAUCACAUAAUUUUAUUCAUUAAUCUAAAUUCACUCAUAAAACAAGGUAACACAAAAAACUUUUGGUGAUCCAUAACUUAUUCUUAAGUUAUGGAAUCCUUUAAAACAUUAACACCAAAUUUUGUAACUCCAAAAAAACUUUGAAUCAAUUUUUUUUUUAAAACCUUUUCAUAUCCAUAACUUAUGGAGGUUUCAAAAAAUAAAACUCUUUAGAUCAAACUUUUAAAACUAAUAAAAUAAUCAUAUUAUUUUAUCUUUUAUUAAAUUUGACCUAAUUCAACUCAUAAAGCAAAUUAUUCAAAUUUUACAAAUAAUUAGUUUUUCACAAGAACAAGUAAUUAUCUUAAAAUUUGACAAACUUCAUGUUUUUUUUUUUUUUUUUUUUCAACUUUGAAAAUAAAAUAUUUGCAUCAAUAUAACAGAAAACAACCCGUGGCUCUGAUACCACUGUUGGGUUUUGAGCAUUCUAACACUUCCUAAGUGUACAUGCAACCCUAAAUACCUUGGAUCUAUGUUUUCUCUAUUAUACAUGCAAAUAAGAAGUUCCAAGGUAUUAUCCUAAUCUAGCAUACAAAAUAAUGGAUAUAACAAGAUAGAAUACAUACCUCUUUGAUGUAGAAAGUCUUCAUGAAGCUUGAGUGCCUAGUGCCCCAAGUGUGACACCUCAAAUAGUUCACACAACACCAAAUACACUUGGAAUAACUUGAGAGAAGUCUACACUUCAUGAAAAUCGGCUNUUUUAUCUCUAGUGGCCGAUUUUGAUCAUGAAUAAGAUGCAUAUAUAGUUAGGGUUACACCAUGUAAACCCUAAUUGACAUGGCCUUUCAUUUCCAUGAUCCAUGGGUACAAAUACACCAUGGAGCAUACAUGGAGCGUCAUAUGGGUUUUCGCCCAACUAGAUAAUCCAUGGAGCAUUAGCCCACUAUAUAAGUAUGGAUGAUUUACACAAUCAAUCCAUAUAUUUAUUUAGUCUUGUUUUGAUCACUUAAUUAAUCCUGGAUUAAUUCUUGAUCAAUACUAAUUAAAUAAUCUUAUUAUUCUUAUUAUUAAUAUACUAGAACUUAGAAUAUAUUAAUAACAAUAAGUGUCUUAUUCCUCUCAUUAUAGUCUAUCCAAAUGCAUGAUGCCAUGCAACCAAAAUGGACCAUGCCGGGUCGGGUCAAGUCUUACCAAUUAUAGUUAUGGACAUAGACAUUAAUCCAACAAACAUAUGUAACAAAAAACCAUUCAAGUAAACACAAACAAAAUCAAUUAUCUACAUUGGUCUACCUGUCUAAUAACUCAUUACCGCAUACAAGGCCUCACACAGUACACUACGCAAAUCCCAACAAAUCUCUAAGGAAAGCAUGCAUAUAUUUGUAACCGUAUGUGAGUUAGAUAUUUAAACAAGUGACAACAUUCUAGAGAAAUAACCAAACAAGGAACAUGUAAGAAAGCCUAGAUCAAGAAUUCUCAGGCUAUCCUACAUGACUAAAUACAACACCUAGGGCACUCGACUAACUAGACAAUGACCAUCUUUUAGGUACUCUUGUUGGAUAAGGUGUCUAAGUCCAUAAUUUAUUUGGUAUAUACUUAACCCGACCGGCAUGGUCCAUUUGGGUUGCAUCUCAUCCAAACUAUUUAUGGAUAAUUUUAUGAGAGUUAUACACAUAUGUUUAUUAAUAUAUUAUAAGUUAUAAUAUAUUAAUAUGAGGUUAUGUUAUUUAAUUAGUCUUAGUCUUAAAUUAAUUAUGAAUUAAUUUAGAGAUUAAAAGGAAGACUAAUUAGAUUAUGGGCUAUUGGUUUUAUAUGGUGUGGGCUAACACUCAUUUGUUAAUGGGCUAGGCUUGGAUGGAAGUCCAUGGAUGAUCCAUGGAGCUUUUAACCCAUGGAUCCUUGGAAAAGAAAAGGUCAUGGGUUAUUAGGGUUUCACCCUAACCAUGUACACCGUAUAAGCAUGCUUAUGGUGCAUGAAAUGGCAACUAGUGAACUAGUGUGUGUGUGUGCUUAUGUAUGGCCGAAAAUAAAAAGUGUGUAUACUCUCUCAAAGUUUUCCAAGAGUUUGUGGUGUUUUGUAAUUCCAUUUGAGGCAUUUACACUAUUGGUGCUUGGCCCUCAAACUCCUCAAGAACCAAACUCAUCAAAAAGGUAUGUAAUCUCUUCUAACUUUUUAUGUUGAAAUGUUCCCCAUGCCAUGUUAGAUAGGUUAUAAACCUUGGAAAAUUAUUAUUUUGCAUGUAUUUAGACAAACAUAGAUCCAAGGUUUAUUAGGGUUGCAUGCACACUUAGGAAGUGUUAGAUUGCUCAAAACCCAACAGUGGUAUCAGAGCCUAGGCUUGCUUGUUUGAUACUUGAUGCAAAAUAGUGAAAAAAGUCGAAAUCGUUGCUGUCUGCNUUGCCUGAUGAACUCGCCGAGUCCAUGGGGGGACUCGCCGAGUCCUUUUGUAUCUUCAACCUACUCGCCGAGUAGGUUCAUGCACUCGACGAGUAGGAGCGACAGAGUGCAGAUUUUCGACUUUUGCUGCUGGAAAUGGACUAGAAACAUUACCCUAAACUGUUUUGGUGUUUUAAAACUUGUUUUAGUUGGUGUAAUGGUUGUUCUAAUCCAUUUACAAUAGCAUAUAUCAAAAUUCCAUGAUUUUUAUGUGUUCAUAUAAUUCUUGAAAUUUUGAUGAUCAUGUUCAUGUUCUUAUGAAUUUAGAAGAUGAUAGGAAUUAUUUGCUGAAUUGUUUAGAAUUAAUUCUUGAUCAUUUAUGUGUUUUAAUGGAGUCCAUAAUUUGUCCUCAAGUUAUGGAUAUCCAAAGGUCACUUUCUUUAACACACACAUUUAAACACAUAAGUUACAUGAAAAUGAAGAGUCUUCAUUUUUAUGAACCUUUAAUUCAUAAGUUAUGAAAUGAAAAGUUUUGGAUAGUUACAAAACUUGUCCUCAAGUUUUGGAAUUUGUAAAGUUUCACACACUUUAAUAAACUUUAAUUCCAACCCUUAGAGUUUUAAUAGUUAAAAUUCAACCCUUAUACUAUUUAUAACAUUAAUGGUUAAUUAUUAUAUAUAUGUAUAAGAAUAAGUCGUUUUACCGUUAGUAGGCCUCAUUCACGAAGCCGGUCUAUAAGGUGGGUAUAAGGUUGUUGCCUAUAAAAUGGCGACUUAAUGGGUGUCCACUCUCACCCACCGCUUGCUUGACUGGUGGAGGGUCGUUAGCCGAACGGGUAGGACAAUGACUUUAAAUCCUCAUUAAAAGUAUAAUGAUUAUUAUAAAGUAACUAAANNNNNNNNNNNNNNNNNNNNNNNNNNNNNNNNNNNNNNNNNNNNNNNNNNNNNNNNNNNNNNNNNNNNNNNNNNNNNNNNNNNNNNNNNNNNNNNNNNNNNNNNNNNNNNNNNNNNNNNNNNNNNNNNNNNNNNNNNNNNNNNNNNNNNNNNNNNNNNNNNNNNNNNNNNNNNNNNNNNNNNNNNNNNNNNNNNNNNNNNNNNNNNNNNNNNNNNNNNNNNNNNNNNNNNNNNNNNNNNNNNNNNNNNNNNNNNNNNNNNNNNNNNNNNNNNNNNNNNNNNNNNNNNNNNNNNNNNNNNNNNNNNNNNNNNNNNNNNNNNNNNNNNNNNNNNNNNNNNNNNNNNNNNNNNNNNNNNNNNNNNNNNNNNNNNNNNNNNNNNNNNNNNNNNNNNNNNNNNNNNNNNNNNNNNNNNNNNNNNNNNNNNNNNNNNNNNNNNNNNNNNNNNNNNNNNNNNNNNNNNNNNNNNNNNNNNNNNNNNNNNNNNNNNNNNNNNNNNNNNNNNNNNNNNNNNNNNNNNNNNNNNNNNNNNNNNNNNNNNNNNNNNNNNNNNNNNNNNNNNNNNNNNNNNNNNNNNNNNNNNNNNNNNNNNNNNNNNNNNNNNNNNNNNNNNNNNNNNNNNNNNNNNNNNNNNNNNNNNNNNNNNNNNNNNNNNNNNNNNNNNNNNNNNNNNNNNNNNNNNNNNNNNNNNNNNNNNNNNNNNNNNNNNNNNNNNNNNNNNNNNNNNNNNNNNNNNNNNNNNNNNNNNNNNNNNNNNNNNNNNNNNNNNNNNNNNNNNNNNNNNNNNNNNNNNNNNNNNNNNNNNNNNNNNNNNNNNNNNNNNNNNNNNNNNNNNNNNNNNNNNNNNNNNNNNNNNNNNNNNNNNNNNNNNNNNNNNNNNNNNNNNNNNNNNNNNNNNNNNNNNNNNNNNNNNNNNNNNNNNNNNNNNNNNNNNNNNNNNNNNNNNNNNNNNNNNNNNNNNNNNNNNNNNNNNNNNNNNNNNNNNNNNNNNNNNNNNNNNNNNNNNNNNNNNNNNNNNNNNNNNNNNNNNNNNNNNNNNNNNNNNNNNNNNNNNNNNNNNNNNNNNNNNNNNNNNNNNNNNNNNNNNNNNNNNNNNNNNNNNNNNNNNNNNNNNNNNNNNNNNNNNNNNNNNNNNNNNNNNNNNNNNNNNNNNNNNNNNNNNNNNNNNNNNNNNNNNNNNNNNNNNNNNNNNNNNNNNNNNNNNNNNNNNNNNNNNNNNNNNNNNNNNNNNNNNNNNNNNNNNNNNNNNNNNNNNNNNNNNNNNNNNNNNNNNNNNNNNNNNNNNNNNNNNNNNNNNNNNNNNNNNNNNNNNNNNNNNNNNNNNNNNNNNNNNNNNNNNNNNNNNNNNNNNNNNNNNNNNNNNNNNNNNNNNNNNNNNNNNNNNNNNNNNNNNNNNNNNNNNNNNNNNNNNNNNNNNNNNNNNNNNNNNNNNNNNNNNNNNNNNNNNNNNNNNNNNNNNNNNNNNNNNNNNNNNNNNNNNNNNNNNNNNNNNNNNNNNNNNNNNNNNNNNNNNNNNNNNNNNNNNNNNNNNNNNNNNNNNNNNNNNNNNNNNNNNNNNNNNNNNNNNNNNNNNNNNNNNNNNNNNNNNNNNNNNNNNNNNNNNNNNNNNNNNNNNNNNNNNNNNNNNNNNNNNNNNNNNNNNNNNNNNNNNNNNNNNNNNNNNNNNNNNNNNNNNNNNNNNNNNNNNNNNNNNNNNNNNNNNNNNNNNNNNNNNNNNNNNNNNNNNNNNNNNNNNNNNNNNNNNNNNNNNNNNNNNNNNNNNNNNNNNNNNNNNNNNNNNNNNNNNNNNNNNNNNNNNNNNNNNNNNNNNNNNNNNNNNNNNNNNNNNNNNNNNNNNNNNNNNNNNNNNNNNNNNNNNNNNNNNNNNNNNNNNNNNNNNNNNNNNNNNNNNNNNNNNNNNNNNNNNNNNNNNNNNNNNNNNNNNNNNNNNNNNNNNNNNNNNNNNNNNNNNNNNNNNNNNNNNNNNNNNNNNNNNNNNNNNNNNNNNNNNNNNNNNNNNNNNNNNNNNNNNNNNNNNNNNNNNNNNNNNNNNNNNNNNNNNNNNNNNNNNNNNNAUGUGGACUGGGAAGGUUCCCAAUUUGGACCACAUCAAAAUUUGGGGUUGCGAAGCCUUCGUGAGGCGUGAAACUCAUGAUAAGCUUGAACCCCGAAGUGAAAGGUGUAUUUUCAUCGGCUACCCACAGAAAUCCUUCGGUUACCUUUUCUACAGACCCAGUGAGAAUGUGGUCUUUGUAGCACGAAGAGGGAUCUUUCGCGAGAAAGAAUUUAUAAGCCAAGGAGACAGUGGGAGGCAGAUUGAUCUUGAAGAAAUUCAAGAAUCAAUUGGUGAAGGAACCUCAGACACUAGCAAUCAACCUGAGGUAGAAACUCCUGUUGAUCCAGCUGACGAGUCUGUACCUCCGAGACGUUCCACACGGGUUAGGAACACACCUUCGUUUUAUUAUGGUUUUCAUAUUACUACGGAAGGUGAUACGUUUAUUAGUGAUAGUACACUAGUAAAUUUGGAUGAACCUAGCAGUGUUAAGGAAGCCAUGGCAGGCCCGGAGUCUGCUAAAUGGAAGGAGGCUAUGGACAGCGAGAUACAGUCCAUGUAUGACAAUCAAGUUUGGAACUUGGUUGACAAUGUACCAGGCCGUAAAACAGUCGGGUGCAAAUGGAUCUUCAAGAAGAAGACCGACAUGGAAGGAAAAGUGCAUACUUAUAAGGCUCGACUGGUUGCGAAGGGUUUUACUCAGACUCAGGGUAUUGAUUAUGAUGAAACCUUCUCGCCGGUAGCCAAGAUUAAGUCUAUUAGGGUUAUGCUAGCCAUUGCAGCAUUUCAUGAUUAUGAAAUAUGGCAAAUGGAUGUCAAAACCGCUUUCCUUAAUGGAAAGUUGGCUGAGGAUGUGUACAUGAAUCAGCCAGAGGGUUUUGUCAGUGCAGAGUACCCUAAUGGAGUAUGCAAGCUUGAGAAAUCCAUUUAUGGAUUAAAACAAGAAUCUCGUAGCUGGAAUCUUUGUUUUGAUGAGAAGGUCAAAGAGUUUGGCUUCUCGAGAAGUGAAGAUGAGUCUCCACAUCGUGACAAUCCCUUGGCCACGACGUGGAUCCCGGAAGAACAUCGCAAUCUUCAUUAAGUUCUUAAUGCUUACAGAUCUAAACAUAUAACUUUAGAUGUACUUCUUUCCAAUGACUUAAGGGAUGAAGUUUAAAAAUCUAUCCAUUAUAACUCCAUUAUAAGGCUAGAUGUACAACCAAAAGCCGCUUAUUUCCUUAGUGGGGCCAAAAUUGGAGCAUGAUCACAAGGGACUCCAACAUGAAUCCUUUUUCUCAACUUACAGAACAUAUUGACAAAAAAUGGAGCUAUAGCAAUCUCUAGAGUUCCUCAAACUCCAAGAGCAUCCUUGGAGGGGAUCAAAACCACCCAAAAGUAACCUCAAAAAUCUUCCACAAGCUUAGAAUAACAAUUACAUUAUCUGUUUUUGCUUAUGGUUACUACUUAGUAGUCAUUAAAUGCUUAACUUGAAUUCCAUACCGCACAAUGGUGUUGUUACUGAAAUAAAUGUCUCUUGACAUUAAGGGUUCAAAAGACUUUUUUAAUCACAAUUCAUUAACGUGGUUUCAAAAAGGCAUUAUGCUAGAAAACUUCUAACUUAAAAGAUUCGAUUCUCUGUUCUUUGAAGCCAAGAUUCUGUUGGGAUAAUUCAAAAUCUUAGUGUAACGUCCAAAUUUUCAUAGUAAAAUUUUGAUUUAAUAAUAAAAGCAUUUGUUCCUAAACCAACAUCAAAUAACUAAAUAAAACCAUUUGGUUCAAACAUUGAUCAUAGUAUAAACAUAAAUGUCAUUGAGUGCGAAAAUUUCCAAUCGAUGUGCUACAAUUAUAUCAUGCCCUUCCCCUUUGAACCUGAAAAACAUGAAACAAUUGAAUCUUAUAACGAUAAGCACAAAGCAUAUUGAAUUUUUUAAAGUACAACAUACAUCAAAGAAUAAAGGGCCCCACUCUGAAUAAUGGACCCCGUCCAUAUAAAGGGCCAUGCGCAAAGUAAUUGGACCCCGUCUAGAUAAUGCGGCCUAUGCAGCAUAUAAACAAAGAAACGAAUAAUUCGGAGUUAGAAAGAUAAAAAUCAUAUAUAUUGACACCUCUUGUCCUAUAUAGUAUAUUGAGAAAGCUGACAUGACUGAUAAAAUAGACAGUCACCAUAACUCGGAGGUAAUGAGAAGGCUGGUAGUACAUACCACCUAAACAUUAAUCAAAUAGACAAACCUCAUUCGGCGACCUAAAACCCUAAACUAUGAUCUAAAGUGAAAUUUAGUCAGAAAGUCAAAUAUCUAGUCAAAUAGGCACCUUGUGCCUCACAUGGAUUCCCCGUUCCAACUAGAUGACAAAAUAGUUGGGAUUUUAGAAUUAAAUAUAUGUAUAUCUAAAAAACUAUAACACCCGUUUACUAGAAAGGAUAGAUUUAUGGUCUGAACGAGUUAAAAGGUUGCUUUUUGGAGAAAAUCGAGUGUCACAAACUGACCAUUAGGUGGUUACGACAUGACAAGAGAAAAAUACGAGAAAUACAUUUUGGACCAUCCUCACUACGUAAGUGUCUCACCCCCGAACCAGACAGCGGAAAUGUCCGAGGGCUCACGUGACUAAAUUUGAAAAUUAUCACAAUGAAUAUACAUGAAUCAUCACAUAAAUAUCACCAUGCAUCAAUAUAUUACAACUGACAUUGUUCACAUCAAGUACAUUGUUUUAACCACUACUAGAAAAAUAGCCUUUUACGACGCGCAAUGCGUGUCGUAAAACCCUCAGACGACGCACAAAUGCGUGUCAAGGAAGGCCCUGUCAUAACGAGAGACGACACGCUUUUGCGCGUCGUCUAUAGACGACGUGCAUUUACGACGCGCAAUUACGACACGCAUUUACGACGCUCAUUUACGACACGCAAUGCGUAUCAAGGAAGGCCCUAUCAUAAAGGAAGACCACACGCAUUUGCGUGUCGUAACCUUACCACGCGCGUUUAGGAAACGCAUUGCGUAUCAUUAUAUCCCCUGUCAUAAAUGAAGAUGACACGCAUUUGCGUGUCAUAAACUUCAACAACCAUUUACAAUAUGAAUAUACGUCGUGCUUUUAUGAUACUCUUUUAUGCAUAAUACAAAAAUAUAGAAAAAUAUACCAAAACAAUCAAUUUCAUCUAAUAACAUCAUGUCAAAAAAUUGUAAUACAUUGAUAUUAUAGGGAUAUUAUAUUACAUUGUUAUUAAGAGGUUUUCCUUAACUAUAUAACCUAAUACUACAUUGCUAUAAAGGGGCACCUUCUUAUUUCAGUAAUUCAUCAUUAAGCUGUCUAAAGAAGCUCUGAAACCCUUCAUGUCUCUUGGCUUCAAUAUCAAUCCCAACUCUUGAUAAAAACACGGAAAUCCUACCAAUCAUCAUGUCUCUUAGCUUUAAUAUCAAUCCCAACUCUUGAUCAAAAACAACUCUUGCUGUGUUUUGCAUUUAUCCCUACAAUUUAACUCUAAUGGCAUUAAAAAUAUGCAUGAAAUAAGUUAUUAUUUCACCUGAUCAACCAAUAUACAAGAAUUUAGUGACAAAAUAAAUUUCACGGUUGAGAAUCACGUGACUGAGGCAAGCGGUGGACGCGUGUUCCAAGCUAAUCCAAAAGGGCAGAUGGGUAAUUUUACCAAAAAAAAAGGGCAUAACAGAUGAAAAGUGUGCUAACCUUAUUUUAGAAGACAGAUCCUCAGAUGAAUCUGCUUGAUGCUUUUGGCCACAACCACUAAAGACAUCAGCCCAUAACGAAAGAAUAUCACACACCUGGUCUUCCAUCUCCUGUACACCUCAUGCAGUAGUUUUCAGUUUUCAGAAUCAAGAAUUACUAUAAUUCCAUUGAAGAAGAAUAACAGUUAUACCUCCUUUGGCAUGGAAGACAAAAAGGAUGAGAGAAGUAACCAUCCAACUUCUUUUUCAACUAUAGCAACCACAAUGUUUCAACUAGCUUGUGUUAGCAUUUUUCUAGCUACAUCAAGCAUUGUUAUGGGCAGUUUUUAGACAAAAAUAAAUAAAAAGUUAAAAACCACUGUCUAUUUACCACUUCACCAUCAUAAUUAUGAAGAAAGUUCAAACUGUUACCUGGCUGGAUAAACAAGAGGCAGCUUUGGGGAGAUAGAUGCAAGCGUAGUAACUGAAUUCCAAAUUUCCUUUAAAAGCUCAACCUUCAUAUUGGUUCCCUUUAUACCAUUUUCAGAAAACAAUAUAUAUAAACAAGUGAAGUAACUGAAUUCCAAAUUUCCUUUAAAAGAAAACUAGGUCUUUGAUGUAAUACCUUCCCAAAUGACAUAUUUUCUCUUAGUGCCUUCAGUGCAGUGAUCCCAUAAUUGACCAAACCACCAACACAUGUCGGAUCAAGAUAUUGAUUAUUGUGCCAAAGAACUUAAAAAGAUAAGAAUAUUCCAUGAGAGAUAUGGAUAAGUAAUUAUAGUUCACAAUUGAAUUCAAAUCCUUACUUAUUUACAGCCAAACACAUAAUUUAUUCGGAAUUGAAUUCCAAUUCUUGAUAUAUCCAACAAAGUCCCACAAACCAAAGCAUCUCUGCUGUCCAAAAGUAUCCUUAAGUAGGAGCUUUCUUCAUAUUUGGAAGCCUCUCUGUUCCCCAAAUCCAACAUAUAAGGCCAAACACACAUAUAUAUUCUUCAUAAAUAUUGACAUAAAUGAACAUUUUAACUUGAAGGGACUUGUGCGUAUUUGAAUAAGUUGUGAGUGAUCACUCUUGUAUGCCUUUGGAUCGGAAAGUGAACGAUAAGCUAUCUAUAUUCUGCUGAUGAAUAUGUCCAUAGAAGCUUUCACAUCAGGCGACUUGGUUGUUAAGGAGGAAAUAAAUUUUAAUGUGCUGUUUUUCAUCAUACAUUGUGUUUAAAAAUCAGCAAAUAAAUAUAUACUUAUGAGUUGAAAAUAAAAAUAAAAAGCUUCAACACCUUUAGAUUCCAGUCGUACCGAGAAAGGCAUAAUAGAACUGGUUUAGAAUUAGUUUUCAUUCCCGACCAGCUCUGUUAUCAUCUUACAAACUUACUCUGAUCGCAAAGCUAAAUAAGAUUAGGAUUCCUAAUCGGCCUGUUGAUGCAAAAAUGAGUGCUCUUUUAGCAGAUAGAGAUAGAUUACCCAAUUGGAAACAGAUACUUGCGUUGACUUUGACUUAUAAGUUCAAGUUGGGAGAAGGAGCUGUUGUGAAACCACAGAUACCUUUUCUUAACAACUGGAUCUAAGACAACAAGUUUGAAUCACAGUUUUAUAUGAUUUCAGAUUCGAACAAGGUAUUUUUAUUUUUUAAUCAAGUCAUGUCCUUGCUAUAGAUGUCCUAUUUUGUAAUUAUUUAUUUAUUUAUUAUUACAGCAUGUGUACGCCAUAGGUGAUGUGUACCCAGAGUCGGCAAAACUGCCCAAGGGUGACUACAGUUUGCAAUUGCACUUGAGGCAUGAGAAUGUGCAGUACUUGGAGAAAUUGAAGCAAUUAGUGUUUCUUCUUACAAAACUUAACAUAUUUUUAUUAUAUUUUAUUAUUGUGGCAGGAGGCUGUGAAAUUGAGCUUUUAUACACAACCAGAUGGUCCAGCGAUAGGACAAGAGUUACGAUAUGUCGUUACUUUGGGUAGGGACCAGCUCGUUUCUGUUUCACCUGCAGUCACUCAAAGUAACUCGCUUGGGUAUUAUAUACAGAUUAAUACAACAACAUCAGUAACUUAAAUAUGACAACUACUUACAUAGAACCAACCAUCAACUCUGUACUCGAUUUUAACCUCUUCUCCAACAGUUAAACUCAACUGGAAGAGAAGAUGUUUCUUUGGUUGCCAUUUAUACCCCUGCAAGAGAAGAUGGAACUGAGGGAUGUACAGUUUCUGCUUCAACGAAACCAAGAACUAUAAUUUGAUCAAAUAUUUCAGAAAUUCAACAAGUGGGAGUUUAUUUAAGCUGAAGAAAUUAUAAUUUUAGAAAGGAAGAGAAACUUUGGAAGUAUUGGAAAUAUAAUACAUAAAAAGAAGGUCUAAUUUGCAAACAACGGAAGUUGGGGGAAAAUCAUGCUAUGUAUAUUAUAAAUAGAGGUUUAUUUCAGAAAAUUACAAAUAAAAAAUUAUUUACUUGUUUAUAUUACACUGUUACCUAAAACCCAUAAAUAGCGAGUAAGAGAACAAGAGAAGAGAGUUGGAUUUUUGUUGGAAUAUGGAUAGCUCAGAUUUUAAGUCAUUUGUAUAGAUUUAGAGCAAAAUAUGAAAGAACUUGAUUUUCAGUAAAACCCUAAGGGCAAAAUCAAGCUUCUUGUUAUAAGGGGUUAAUAAGGUAAACUUUUAUCUUAUAUGUGGUUUAGAAGAGUAAAAGAAGAAUGAUUGUACAAUUUGAUUGCUAGAUGUUUUAUUAUACUUAAUGCACACUUCAUAGUAGUUGGAAAGAUUGUGAGAGAAGCAAGCUUGCAAAAUUACUAUUAAGGCAAUAAAACAAAGAUCACAUAAAGUUGAUUACUAUCUUAUUUCAAAAUAAUGGAGUGAAUAGGUGGACAUGGAAACCAACAAUCUAUGCCUUAAGAUAACAAAAUAUGAUAAAAUAUGCAACGCGGUAUCUGGUAGGGAAUUUCACGUGAUGUUAUUCUCUGCUAUCAAAAGGAUUUAGGAAGUUACCUUUACAACUGAGAGAACAAGUUUAGCAUGUAUUUCUUGCCACUUUGUCAGAUCCUACUGAACAUUUGAGAUCGUAGGAAUAUCAGAUAUUUGUUAGGCAUCUGCAAAUCAUAAACAUAAACUACUCCAAUUAUAACCAUCAAACAAAUUAGAACUUUGAACAGGUUUUGAAAUAUAGAUAAGCAUGAAAAAUAUCAUAAAUCUGUAACAUGUCUAUAUAAGCACACUUCUGCCAAUUCGUAUAAUUCAGUUCCUAAUGUCUAGAACAUUUUCUACCUACCAUUUGACAAGAUCACAUAUUCCACUACUAUUUUUAGGUGCACCUUGUUCUUGUCAGUUCUGACAUAUUAUCUAAGGCAUACAAGUUUGGUCCCUGUAAAUUCAAUAAAACCAAAUGUUGGAACACCCAACCUAUUCUAGACUGAACAACUGAAUCACAUACACACUUCUCUUCAUCUAAGGAAUUCUAUAACUCCCAACAACAUAGGAAUAUGUACAGACAUGGAAAACAUUAUUAAUGGCUUUAUUAACUACAAUUGAUUUGCUGUGAUUCCUAUAGUUGCAUAAUAUCUAUACUGCGACUAUUUUGUGGAUUACCCACCUCUUUAGGAAGGUAUACAUGCUCACUACUUAUUUUUGUAUUUUCAAAUGGGAUCCUUCUCCCUCUCCCUAUGGUUAUUUCCUCUUCAAACCCGAUCCUCCUGAUUUAAUAAAACAUAAGACUAUCAGUCUAUAACCUCAACAAUAAAAACAAAACAAAUUAUUAUUAAAAUCAAAUAAUGAUAAUACAAAUUGUUACAAAUUAUGGACAAUAGGGUCUUCUUUUAUGAUGGCAUUAGGAGUGGCUGGUAACCCAAGGGAUCUUCUUGAUCUCUCUAGUGGCAACCCAAGGGUUCUGUCCCAUAUUAGCUGUCAAAGUCAAAAAGAAUACCAUUAAAUCUAAACAAACGUGAGUUAUACCAAAUUCACUGAUGAAGGGAUGAAGUUAUACCAAAUUUGUUUCUUCAAAUGUACAGUGUGUGGGUUAUAAGACGACCUCACGACUACACUUUUGAUAACAAAAAAAGAUUGGCAGAGUAACCUAUAUGAGCAUGUAUUUUGCGAUUUUAUCCCAUUCACAUCAUCCCCUCACUUUGGUAUAAAUUCAUCCCCUCAAAUGGUUAAACUUCACAUCAUCCCCUCACCAGUAAUAUGGUAUAACUUCCACGAUCAAAUAAAUUAUUAGAUUGUGCAUGCCUCCUUCUCAGCAGUUCCAGCUUUGCAAGAAACCAUUGACACAAUUAAUAUUGCAUUUACUCCAAGUUCACACUAGACAAUGAGACAUGAAAACAAUGCUAAAAAGCUGUUACAAUUUCAAAAAAAUAUGAACAUUUUUUAUAUCUAAAUCCAAUACAACAUGUCAUAAGUGAACACCAUCAAUUCACAAAAUACAACAUAUGACAGUUACUACAUAGGUAAGAGACUGAAUUGAACAUAAAUGGAUUGGACAAGCUUUCUAGGGUUAUUUCUUUAGAUGAUGAUGAGAAGGGCAUUCAUGUCUUUUGCAUAGAUGAGAGAUUGAGACAAAAAGAAAAUGAAUGUUUCAAGGGGUUUGUGGUAUACAAUUGAUUUGAAUCAUCACUGAGCACUAUUAAUUGGCUUCUCAGCUAACACAACAUAUUUAGCAGCCUAACAUACAUUAAAAUAAAAAAUAUUACAACCUUACUACCUGAAUUAUCUGUUGUGGUCCUUCAGUUGGCUUUUGAGAAAAAGCUUAACUGUGCAGGUUCUUCAGGGAAAGUCUCAAGGAAGCUUUCAAGAAGUUUAUCAACAUUAUCAAUUCUUUCAUCACCUUCACCAAUUAUCCAAAUCAUCGAUGCCUGUUAAAAAAACAAUUAUUAGUAAAUUUCUAUAGAAAGCAAAAGAGAGAGAGAGAGAGAGAGAGAUUGUAGAAUUUAAAACAAUUAUUUUACUACAGACACAAUAAAUGAUCUAAUUAACUGCUCUUGAUUGUGAUGCCAAAACCAAAUUGAGAAGGCAGAAAUACAAAAACUAACUAUCAAUUAAAUCUUACUCCACCCCACAUGAAUUGAUCAUCAAAAUCUGGAAUCUGAUAUACGAGUUCUUUAAAAUAUGUUAUUAUCGUGUCUUAAUUUUCAGCCCCUAAAAACAUAAAAAAGGCAUUAUGCCACACCAGGCUAUGCAAUCAAAACUGUAUUGAAGAUGCUACCAGUAGAAGAACCUGUAAUCGUAUGCCAAUAAUAUCUACUGAAAACUUCUCCCUACCUACGGACCAAUAACCCUAUGGAUUUGGCAAAGCAGAGCCUUAAUUCAGAUUCAGAUCAAAAUCAAAUUAUCAUCCAAGGUAAGAAAUUGAACAAGGAUAACAAUAUUUGUGAUAACUUAAUCGACCUAUCAACCAAUAACCUGAUGCAUCUGCCAUAACCAUGAUCGAAGAUAAUAACAUACAGGGAGAAGCUAGAAUUAUCGUCAUGACCCGCUUGGAUAAUAAUGUAUAAUCUUUAAUUUCUUCCAGAUAUAAACCAAUAACCCUAUCGAUCUGCCACAACAAGUAGAUUCGUAGAUAAAUUCUUAAUUAUAACCCACAUCUCCUCAUAGAAGAGACCAUAAAAGAACCUGAUGACGCUUAGAACAACAUAAGAGAGGAAGAACCUGGAAACGCCUGAUCAUAAAGAUCUGAUCUUUGAUAUUGAAACUAUCGACGGAUCAAAUCUAAAUUACAGAGCGUAUAUGAACUUGCAAACCAUUGUGGAUUAAGAUUUUCCAUGACGACUUUAUAAUCAUUAACCAUCGAUCAAAGAAACAAAUCCUCCAAAUCAAAAUAUCAAAAUAUAGAAUAUAACUAAAGAUUCAUGAAGGGAUUACGACCCGUUUCAGAUAAAGAUCAACCAUAAAAUAAAAAUCAAAUAUUUAAAAUACAUAAUAAAGGCAAAGAGAUUGUAGAUCAAUGAUGAUAGGAGAUGGAGAUUCAAUUUCUAAUUUAUGAUUUACAUAGAAAACAAAACACAAACUAAAUGGGUUUUCUUUUUUGUUACCGUUCCUUUGCAAUAAAAUGGCCAAUCGAUGCCUAUGUACUUCGAUAUUUUCACGAAGAAUGUAGUUAAAAACCCAAUCAAUGAUAUGCAACAAAAUAUCCCAAGAGAUUCGUCUCGUCGUCUUCUCUAUUAGGCCCCGAUAAUGUUGCCUUCCUCUUUCUCAUUUUUGGUUUACCGCCUUCAAGACAAUCAGAUAUGACACUGUGAGGAUGAAACUUGAACCCCAAUCGCCAACAUCAUGAGUGUAAGAACUCGCAGUCGUCGGCAUAGGGAUGUGUGAGCGUUAGGAGUCGCCGACACUGUGAGGAUGAAAGUUGAUUAAUUUUGUGGAGGUCUCCCAUAAAAGCCCUAGCUGGUUGAUGGAUGCGUUCAUUGUUGAUGAUGAAGGGCCGGAAGGAUUUCAUCGAUUUCGAGUCAGGUGGGGGAGGAUAAGAUGGCUUCGAAGAAGGUCACAAAUCUGGAGCAAGGAAGAAGAAAAGGGUAAGAAGACAUCGUUGUGAAUUGACGGUGGUGGAAGCGAGGAGCAUGGACGUCCAGGUUUUAGUGGAGAAAUCAAACUAGUUUCUUCCUUAUUUUGGGAGGACGGACAUGAAGAGAUCGAGAAAAAAAUCCCUAGUUGGAUGAUUUUAUGACGAGGAGGAUGGACACGGGGAGGUGAUCCUAUGCUCACCGGAGAAGAAGUAAGCUUGAAGUGAGAUCGUCGAUUGUUGCAGAGGCCUAGGAGAACCGAUCAAGAAUCAGAGAGCGUUUUGAAUUUUUUUGAAAAAUCCCUAGGUAGAAUGGUUCUUGAAAAAGCCCUAGGAAUGAGUAAAUGAAGGGAAAUACAGAGGAGAGAUUGAAAAAGCCGGCACUUCAAAAUUUUAAAAUUUCAGAGGAUUUCAUUUUUGCCCUUUAAAAACGCGCGUUUCAUAAAAAAAUAUAUAAAGCGAAAUUUCUAGAGGACACACAUUUAAAACAAGUGCCCUCCGUGUUUGUAUUUUUUUCUUUUUUGGACAUUAAUUUUCAGGCACGCAAAAAUGCAUGUCCUCUACUCUUCAAAUUUUGGAAGGUUGACAUUAUUUUUAAGGGCACACAAAGAUGCGUAUUGUAAAUCAGCGAGUGUCAUUGUUUGCGCGUCAUUAAAGGGUAUUUUUCUUGUAGUGAACAUUACAAAUCCAUAACAUAAAAUUUUUGAUAGUUUUCAAAAGCACAACAUACUAACAUACUUUGUACUACCCUUCCGCUUACCUGUUACCUGAGAAUACAAAUGUGCAAAUGUUGGUGAGUUCAUAAGCAGGUUUGAUGUGAAAAUGUUUUGUGUUGUUUGAAAGAAAACAACCCAGAAAAUCCGAUAUUUUCUGAAACGACCAUUGUUUAUAUAAAAGUGUUAAGAUCCGUAAAUAUAUGUGAUUUCAAAACAUGUAUAAUUGAAAAACUUUGUAUUAAAAGUACUAGUGAAAAAUGUUGAACUUCCCCGAAAAACCCGAUGUUUUCCGAAAAUAAAAAUAUUAUAUAACGGUUCGAAUUGUUAUUCCAUCACAUGAAUGAUUUUGACUUACCUUGAUUACUUGAUUUAUAUUGGAUUUAUUUACGUGAGUCGUUCUAACCAUCCAUGAUAAUGACUAGUUCGUCUGUCUUGGCACUCUGGUGAAUGCCGAAAUUGAUCAUAAGAUUUUGUUACCAUAGACUAGCCGAGUCUAACUGUAGCCCACAGCUGAGGUGUGGGGGAGUCACCCCCGUAUAGAUCUAUACACAAACACUCGCUCUCCCUCCAGGAGACUUUGAUUAUAACUACAGAUUACGACCGACACACGUUGGUGCCACCCGUUAUUACUCACUAAAUCCCAAUUGACUUUCAUUACUAUUGAUUAUCGACUCGUAUUUGUUUACUUGGAUUAACGAUAGGCCUAAUAAACGAGGAGAAGAGGAUUACAAGAUCCUACUAUUCCCGCGUAUUAUUUAUGGAUAUUGAUUAUACAAAGGACACGCUGGCCCAUUUCGCAUUUUAUUUACUUGGACCUUACUAGCAAUGCUAACGGGCCACUAAGACCCAAUAGCACUUAAAACCCAUUGAGGGUUCCUUAAAUAUGAAUUUGGGUCAUAGAAGGCCUACUAACAUUUAUAAUUAUCCCUUGGGCCCAAAAAUUGUUAAUGGGUCAGAAAGGCCCAAUAAGCAUGUUUGGAACUUUCAAGCCCAAAGAAUUUAAUGUUUACUUGUUUUAAGAAUUGUAUAAUUGUUGGAAGGUUUGAUUGAACGAUAGUUAUUUUUUUGUAUCGACACAAGACCGGUCGAUUUGUUUAUAACGAUAUAUGGAUUAUAUGUAUAUUCAUCUCUCUAUUUUCAUGGGUUGUGAGUUUUAGUAUUUUUGACUCAAAGAUCUUAGAAAUAAAAUAAUUGGUUCAAAAUGUUGGUUUGACCCCUUUUAGCCCUUUUUAAUAAAAAUAACCAUUUUUGGUCCUUUAUACAAAAAAAGACGUUUUAAGCCCUUAUAGCAUUUUGUUGACACAUUUGACCUAUAGGCUUACUGAAUAGAUAUUUUUAGUUCAAAACUUAUUCUUUGGCAGUUUCAGCUCUUCCAAAAAAGUGAUUUUCGGUUAAAGCCCAAACAUUUGCAACUUUUACAAUUUUGACCUAAAAUCUAAAAAGUUUACAUUUUUUAUCCUUGUUUGGAAAAUACAUCAUUUUGAACCCUGAAAUAGUUUUGUUUACCCUUUUUACCCCCUGUUUUGAGAUGUUUAUCAUUUCACCCCACCCCCUUGAAAGUUAAAAUUUUUGUCAAACAUUUGCAAAUUUUCUCAAGUCAUGGCUUAAUGGGCAGGAAAGCCCAAAAUUUGACCAAUUAAGCUACAAUUUUACACUUCUAGCCCUUAAAAGUGUAUGAUAUCCAUAAAAACAAUUAUUUUUACUGAUUUGAAUCUUUUAGUCCUUAAGAAAAAACAUGAAUGGAAAUUUUAACCCAACUUUUGUUUCUUUAACAAUUUAAGCCCAAAAAUUGUCUGAUGUUGCAAUAUCUUGAUUUAAAUCAUAGAGGAUAUUUUUCUUGACUUUUUAUAGUGUAGUAGACAUUAGAUCAUGUUUUCUUUCCUUAUUAUGUCAUAGAUCUCGAGAUUUCUUUCCAUUUUGUUUACAUAUUCAACACACAAGCACAUAAAUUCACACAUACAUACAUGAAAUCAUACAUAGCAUACACAUACACAUAGAUCUACACAUUUUUCUUGUAUUCUCCCCCAUUAAACUUGUAAAAACUAAAAAGAGAGGGGUAUGAACUCACCUUGAGUUUGUGGGUUUGGUUUUGAAGAAUAAUGGAAGAAGUUUGAUGCUAUUCUCAUCCUAGCAAGCUUCUUGGAGGAUCUUUGGCAUAGAUGUGCUCUAAGAUGCGAGAUCACGAGUUUGAAUUGAUUAGGAGGAUAUUUUUGAUGAAAUGAAGUUGGUAGAUCAUGUAUUUAAGCAUCAACUUACCUAAGAUGAUGACUCUUUGGGAGAAUCCUACUUGAAACCUCUUGAAUCUCGAAAAUAUGAUGAAUAAGUGAAGGAGUUGUAGUGUGUUCUUGAGAGUGUUUAAGCGAAAGAAAAUUACGUGUGUGUGUGUUACUCUUGGCCGAUGAAAAAAGAGAGAGGAAAAGAGAGGGAGUGAAGUGAUAGGUACUUGGAAAUAUGAGAUGUUACAUGCAUAUCCUAUGUACUAUUGUGAGGUGGCAUGUACAAAAGUCAACUCUUUUCUCCCAUUUGUUUAAUUGGGCCGAGAGAAGGAGAAGAAAGAAAAGAAAUUGGGCCUUCUUGUGCUUAAGUCCAUAUUUUUGCCCGAUUGGAUUUUUUUUGUCCUAAUUGGUCUUUGGGUAGGGUUCACGGCCCAAAAUAAGUCAAGGAAUGAGUUUUAUGGUCUUUUUAAGUUAUUAGAUUUGUUAUGGAUCAUUAGUGUAUUUCAUUUCGUUCUAGGCCCAUUAUGGCCCAAAAUGUUAAAAUAAAUGAAGGUGGGUCCAGUUAGAGCCCAUUUAAGAGUUCUAAUCCCGAAAUAGUGAAAUUGGAAGCUUAUUGGUCCAUUAGGGCCAAUAAGAAAAUCCUAGUGCAAAAUGGACUUAAACCGGGAUUUCUUGGGUUUCCAAUUCUUUGUUGACUAUUUGAAGUGCUUAUAUAGAGUGUUUGAUGUGGAUUUUGUUGUCAUUGAAUAAGUAUCCUACAUGCUUUCACAUUUUUGGUUACCAAAUGUUAUCAUUGUUGUUGUUACAAAGCCUCAAAAUACCUAGUUGUGACAUCAUCCCCCCGUUAGAGGGAAUUUCGUCCCGAAAUUCUUUUGAAUGAUUUAAGAACACGAGAAUAGGUGAGGGUACUUCUGCUUCAUCUAGUCUUCGUGUUCCCAUAUGAAUUUUGGCCCACGCUUCGCGUUCCACCGUACCUUUCACAAUCGGAAUGCGACUAUGCGUAGUACGCUUCACCUCCCUGUCCAUGAUUUCGACUGGUUCUUCGACGAACAGGAGAUUCUCGUUGAUUUCCAUUUGUUCAAGGGGGCUGACAAGCGUUUCGUUGGAUAAACACUUUUUCAAAUUGAAAACAUGGAACACAAGGUGUAUACUGCUGAGCUCAGCGGGUAGCUGCAGUUUAUACGCAACUAGACUGAUUCUGGCAAGAAUCUCGAAGGGUCCGAUAUAUCGUGGAUUCAACAUUCUCCAUUUUCCAAAACGAAUAACCCCUUUCUAGAGAGAUACUUUUAACAACAAUCGAUCCCCGACUUGAAACUCCAAGGGUUUCCAUCGUUUAUCAGCGUAGCUCUUCUGUCGGUCUCGCGAUGCUUGUAGUCGACCUCUGAUUUGAACGAUCUUGUCCGUUGUUUCGCGUAUGAUUUCCGGUCCCGUUAACACAUUGUUUGAUGUCAGUCCUCCUACUAGUUGGGUGUCACCUACCUCAGCCCAACACAAUGGUGAUCUGCAUUUAUGUGCAUACAACGCCUCGAAGGGAGCAACUUUGAUUCUCAAGUGAUAACUGUUGUUGUAUGAGAAUUCGAUUAAGGGCAAGUGGGUAUCCCACGACAUUCCAAACUCUAUCACACACGCGUGUAGCAUGUCUUUAUGUGUCUGAAUGGUUCGUUCGCUUUGACCAUCCGUUUGUGGGUGAUAAGCGGUGCUCAUGUCGAGAUGUGUUCCCAGUGCUUUCUGAAGUGAUUGCCAAAAACGUGAAGUGAAUCUACUAUCUCUAUCUGAGAUGAUAUAUACUGGGACUCCAUGGAGUCUCACAAUUUCCUUGACGUAUAUCCUCAUCAACCUGUCCAUCUUGUAGGAUUCUUUUAUUGGCAGGAAAUGAGCGGAUUUCAUCCAUCUGUCGACUAUUACCCAUAUCGUACCCAAUCCAUCCGUUGACUUGGGUAACUUGGUCACAAAGUCCAUAGUAAUCCUUUCCCAUUUCCACUUGGGAAUUACUGGUGUUGUAAUAAUCUCGCGGGCUUAUGAUAUUCCACCUUCACUUUAGCGCAAGUAACGCUUUUGCUAACAUAGGCGGCAAUAUCUGCCUUCAUGUUGGACCACCAAUAAUGUUGCUUGAUAUCCAAGAACAUUUUAUCUGAACCCGGAUGGAUGGAGUAUCGAGUCUUGUGGGCUUCAUUCAUGAGUACCACUUUGAAUCCACCAAGUUUAGGGAUCCAAAUGCGGUUCAUGAAAUAAUGUGUUCCGUCCUCCUUCACUUCGAAAUUCUUUUCCAUCCCUCGUAACGCUUCGCUUGCUUUGUUUUCCGUCUUCAUGCCAUCGGACUGGGCUACUAUGAUUUGGGAGGUCAGGUGGGAUUGAAUGGUUAUGGAGAGAUUCUUUACAUGAUGAUUUGAGUAUUCUUUCCGACUCAAGGCAUCAGCUACCACGUUAGCCUUACCUGGGUGGUAAUUGAUUUCACACUCAUAAUCGUUUAGUAGCUCAACCCACCUUCAUUGCCUCAUGUUCAAUUCUUUUUGAUUUAGGAUAUGUUGGAGACUCUUGUGGUCCGUAAAAAUGGUGCACUUGGUACCAUAAAGGUAGUGCCUCCAAAAUUUUAAGGCGAAGAUCACAGAUCCCAAUUCUAAAUCAUGGGUCAUAUAGUUCACCUCGUGUGUCUUUUGUUGUCGAGAUGCAUAAGCUAUCACCUUCCCAUGUUGCAUGAGUAUGCAACCUAAACCCUGAUUCGAUGCAUCGCAGUAAACUACGAAGUCCUCUGUUCCAUCUGGUAGUGAUAGUACCGGUGCGUUGUAGAGUGCUCGCUUCAGAGUUCGGAAUGCAACCUCUUGCUUAUAUGUCCAUUCGAUGGGUACACCUUUUUGUGUAAGCAUGGUAAGUGGCUUAGUGGUCAUAGAGAAGUUUUGGAUGAGCCUCCUGUAAUAACCGGCUAGACCUAAAAAUUGAAAAUUUUAUGUGGGUGUCAUUGGGGUCGCCCAUUAUUCAAUGGAUUUGACCUUAGAAAGAUCCACGUAUAUCCAUUAUUCAAUGGAUUUGACCUUAGAAAGAUCCACGUAUAUCCCUUCUUGACUAACAACAUGACCCAAAAAGUUCACAUUGCGGAGUCAGAACUCACACUUAGAGAGUUUUGCAUAUAGUUUCUCGGUUCGCAGGGUUUCCAGGAUUUGUCGGUGAUGUUGGUCGUGCUCCUCUUCGUUUCGAGAGUAAACUAGAAUCUCAUCAAUGAAAACGAUGACAAAGUUGUCAAGGAAUGGUCAGCAGAUUCGAUUCAUUAGGUCCAUGAAUGCGGCAGGGGAAUUCGUUAGACCGAAGGGCAUUACGACGAAUUUAUAAUGUUCAUAACGACUUUGGAAAGGGGUUUUGGGGAUAUCCUCUUCCCUGACCUUGAGUUGAUGGUAUCCAGAUCGUAGAUCUAUCUUGGAGAAAUAGCUCGCGCUUUGAAGUUGGUCAAAUAGAUCGUCGAUUCAUGCAAGUGGGUAGCGGUUUUUGACAGUGAGCUUAUUUAGCUCCCUAUAGUCAAUGCACAUCAUAAAGGAUCCGUCUUUCUUCUUAACAAAGAGAACCGGAGCUCCCUAUGCUUAGAAGCUAGGUCAGAUGAAUCCUUUGUCCAAAAGCUCACUGAGUUGGCUGGACAAUUCAUGCAUCUGCGCAGGAGUCAAUCUGUAGGGCGAUUUGGCGGUGGGAGUAGCUCCUGGUACAAGAUCAAUUCGAAACUCGACUUGUCUCUCUGGGGGUAUUCCUGGAAGAUCAUCAGGGAAGACAUCCGAGAACUCGCAAGCUACUGGAAUGUCUCAAAUAUUGACCUCUUCCUUGGAUUUAUCCAAUGUAUGAGCCAGGAACGUCAAGUCUUUCUUUCGUAGAUACUUUUGUGCCUUAAUGCACGAGAUAAAACGAAGGUUCAUGUUGGGUUUGUCUCCGUAGAUAAUUAAGGUUUCGCGAUUUGGAAGUUGAAGGUGAACGACCUUCUCAUGACACAUAAUUUCAGCAUGGUGGGGGCUUAACCGAUCCAUGCCAACAAUCACAUCGAAACUCCUAAUGGAAACAGGCAUUAAGUUUAUUUGAAAGACGUGUUGGUCCGAGGUUGGGGUACAUCCGAUAUAGAUUUCCCCAGUGGAUUCUGUUUUCCCAUUGGCCAUUUCCACCAUAAAGGUUUCAUUAAGCUUUUGGGGUUGUUGUUUUAACAAGUGUUUAAAUCUAUUGCUUACAAGGCUUCGUUCUGCUCCGGUGUCAAAUAGGAUUCAUGCAUAAGUUCUGUUUAGGAGAAACGUACCGGUGACAACAGUGGGGUCUUGAACCGCUUCUCCCUGACCCAUGGUCAGCACUCUUCUUGUUCUUCCAUUCCGAGGGUUGUUGUUGUUGGGGCAGUUACGACGGAAAUUACCAAUCUUUCCACAUCCAUAGUUGGUGUGGCUCGGUCCAGCAUUGUUGCCACUGUUGUUGGUGUUGUUGUUGAUGUUGUUUUUAUUGCGAUUGUUGUUGUUGUUAUUUCCUUGCUGCUGAUUCUGGGGAGGAUAGGUCAUGUAAUAUUUUUCCGUGGGACCCUUUUGAUUGCAACUGGUGCAAUGCAUCUCUCUGAACUCUCCAUUAUGAUGGAGACUACACUUGUUGCACUUUGGGAGAUUACUAGAAUACUGUCUAGGAGCACUUGGAGCAGCUGAGACUGGAGGAUGUGGUGCAGAGGGAACUUGAGUGGUUGUAGCAUUAACUAUCACUGUUUGUUGCUUCAUGGACGACUCCGAGCCUUGUUGCCCCUUUCUCUUGUUAUUCUUUCCAUUCUUGUUGUCACUCUCCUUCUUGCCAUCUAUUUCCACUGGCUUCUCGCCCUUCUUUUUGUUGUGGUCGUAUAGUUUCUUGGCCAACUCUUGGCACUAUCGAAGGUUUCAGGAUUUGCAACUAUCACAUUUCCUUGGAUUUGGGAGGUUAAUCCCUAGAUGAAUCGUUUGAUUUUCUUUCCCUCCGAAGUAAUGAUGCCAGGGCACAAUAGAGAUAGUUCGCUAAACCUUGAUAUGUAUGCAUCAAUUUCGGAAUUUCGGACGGUGAGAUUCCAUAAUUCCUGUUCGAUUUUCUAAAUCUCAUCUCGCGGAUAGUAUUCGGCCAUCAACAUUUCUUCCAACUCCACCUAGGGCAUGGAGUUGGCUUCGGGGAGAGUCACAGCUUCUACAUGUCCGUUCCACCAAGUGAGAUCUUGAUCAACGAACGUGCAUGCGGCAAACUUCACCAUCAUCUCCUCAUGGCACUCUCAUAUCUCGAACACCGAUUCCACCUUCUCAAUCCAUCUUUUUAGGGUUAUCAUUCCCCCGGUGCCAUUAAAGGUUCGCGGCUUGGUAUUGGUGAAAUCUUUGUAGGAGCAUGUCUUGGUAGGUCCUUGGUUUAUCCCGUUGUUCGAACUUCCAGCUCCUUGUCUAUUGACUCCACCAUUGUUUCCUUGGUGGAUUUGUGUCAUGGCUGUAGUAACCGCAUUAGAUACAGCUGCUUGGAAUGCAGCUGAGUUAACUUCGGGAGGGGUUGGCCCAGGGUUUCCAUGGGCUGGUCGUCGAGGCAUCUUUCGGUCACAAAACGGAAAGAUGUUGAGUGCCUAAGUUUUGUGGGUUUGUGGUCUCAUGACUAGGUUUAUAUCAUGUAUUUAAGUAGUUUCUCAUAUCAACAUAUAAUCAUAGAAGCAUAGCACAUAACAAGUAAUAUUAUCACAACAAAACACAUAUAUUUUCCAUUAAUAAUAUUCGUACUUUGAUACAUGAAAAUUUGCUCGAAAGAGUAUACAUAAGUGGUGCAUGUUCGGCAGCGUGACGACUCUCUGAGUAGUGUAAUCACUUAAACAUAGAGUGAAUGGUACAUAGCAUAGAUCAUAGUACUAGUAAGUUAAGUCUACUCCUAACACUCUAUGGGCGCCCUAUGACUGCAGCGAUGUCAUAUACCGAAGUGUUGUACCAACAACUAGGCCAUCUCAGUCAUUUGUCCAAUGACUUCAUCCAUUUCCUGCUCAACUUACACUGCUCGUGCUUCCAUGGCUAAUAGUUGUUGCCGCAGAGCAGCAAUCUCAGCUUCUGGAGAGAGAUUCUCCCUUGCGGGAUUCCCUGGUGGGGCAGGGUGGUCCUGCUAUGCCUCGCUGACAGGUGAUGUGGCAUAGUCCUCGCGAGAGUCUUUUUCUUCCUCCAUGUCGCCAUCGGUCCCAUUAAACUUGUAGUCUGAGUCCAUGUACUUGUCAGGCCCUACGUCGUGUGCUCCCCUGAUCUCCCUCAGGCUCAUCUUCGAUCAUCCCGUGGGCCACUAAGACCUGAUGAAAUUGAAUUCCCUAGUGCUCCCAUUCCAUGGUGACUGAGAGGAGGUGUAUGAAUAAACUAUCAUUACUCCUAAGACGUUUUAAUUAUUGUAUAAAUCGAGUUAAUGUUCUCUUCUUGGUAAUAAAGGGGUAUGUUUUUAGGUUUACGUACCAUCGCGAUUUCCUUGGGACAUGUGAUAGUUGUACCUUGGGGGAAAUGUAGUUGAUCAGGCUACAUUCACUCCUUAAUGCGACUAUGAAUAGUACCGGCUUAACCGAGAUGCUAGCAUUAUCUUAUUUGAUUUGGUAUUAUGUUAUUUUUUUCCUAUGUCUUACGAGUAGGGGUGUUUUAUCGUUGUGUUUUAUUUGCUUUGUUUUGUUCAAAGUUGUUUUGUCUGUCACACCCCGGAACCAGAUGGCAGAAUCCGAGGGCUCGUAUGACUUAAAUUGAAUAUCAUCACAAUGAAUAUACAUGAAUCAUAACAUAAACAUCACCAUGCAUCAAUAUAUUACAAUUGGAAUUGUUCACACCAAGUACAUUGUUUUAACAUUACAUAUCCAUAAAUAAAUUGUUUGAUAGAUAUCAUAAACAAAACACUCUAAGAUACUUGGUAUUACCCAUCCACUUAUCUGUUACCUGAGAAUACAAGUUAUUUUGGAAAAACAUCAACAUAUGAAAUGUUGGUGAGUUCAUAAAUAAGGCUGUGAAUAAAAUGAUUUGUAUAGUUUGUAAAACCCAGAAAAUCCGAUAUUUUCUGAAAAGUCAAUAGUUUAUCAAAUUGUGAAGAUCCAUAAGUUGAUGCUAGAAUGAUUUCAAAACACAAAAAAAGAGGUAUUUUUGUAUUAUAGUUAUAUAAUUUACGAGCGAGUAGUAUUGAUUUCUCCGGAAAACCCGAUGUUUUCUGAUGUCGAAAGGUAUACGUGAUUACAAAUUGUUAACCCACCACAAUGACUGGAUUUUGAUUACUCACCCUUGAAUACUUGGAUGGUGUUGGAUAAACCUAGUGAGUCGUAGCGAUGUCUGGUGAAGGCAAGUUAUAACAACCAACUACGAACGUCCCAUAGAGGUGUCGGCCGUUGUUACUCACUUAAUCCAAACCACCUUGAUUACUGUUGAAUAACGUCCUAAUUCCGUCUACUUUGAUUAUUCAAAAGCCUUAGCGAACGAAGAGAAGAGGAGUACGAACUCCUGCUACAAUCGUAAGUACCUUAGGUUGUCGGGGAUGCGAAAGACAUGAUGGCCCAACUCGCAUUUGAUUACUUUGACCUUACUAGCAAUACUAAUUGACCACUAGGGCCCAAUAGCACAUAAAAUCCAUUGAAAGUCCUUUUAUAUGGAAUUGGGCCAUAGGAGGCCCAAUAACACAUAAGUGUUAUCCUUUUGGACCCAAAGAUCAUGUUAAUGGACUUCCAAGGUCCAACAAGCAUGAUUUCAAAAUUUCAAGCCCAAAGUUUGAAUAAUUACUCGUCUUAGGUAUAACAUAUGUAUUGGAGGGUUCGAUUUAACGGUUGUUGUUUUUGUAUCGAUUCGAGACCGAUCGAUUCGUUUAUAACGAUAUUUGGAGUUAAACGUGUAUUCGUCUUUCGAUUUUUCAGAAGUCGUGGUUUUGUAUUUGACUUAAUUAAAUAUUUUGUCUAAAAUAGUGGUCGACCUUUUCAACACCUUCCUUUUAUAAAAAUAACAGUUUCAGUCCUUUUUAUAUAAAAGAAAAGACAUUUUUAGCCCUUAAAAUAUUUUCUUGAUAGUCUUGCAUCAUAGACGUGUUGAAAUAAUAGUUUUAACUCAAAACUUAUUUUGUUAACAGUUUCACCCCUUUCAGAAUAAUAUUUUUCGAUGUAAAACCCAACUUUUCGCAUUUUUUUACUGUUUUGGCCCACUAUCCAAAAACUUUACAUUUUUGAUCCUUUUUGGAAAUGAAAAGCAUUUUUGACCCUUGAAAUAGUUUUGCUACGCUUUUUAUCCCCUGUUUUGAGGAAAGUUUCAUUUCAGCCCCUUUAAUUGUCUUUUUGUCGCAAUUUUGGGCUUAUUGUGCCGAGAAACCCAAAAUUAGCCCAUUAAGCUUAAAAUUUACAUUUCAAUUCCAUUGGAAAUUUUAAUGUUCAUAAAAACAAUUAUUUCAACUGCUUUGACUCUUUAACCCUUAAGAAACCAUGAUUUGGCAACUUUUAACCCAAAAUUUGUAUAUUUGACAAUUUAAGCCCAAAAAUGGGUUUUAUGUUGAAGUAUGUUUAACACAAUCUUAUAAGUUAUUAUUCUUCACUUGUUUGGUGUAAAAUAACUUAGAUCAUGUUUGUUUACAUUCUCAUGUCAUAGAUCUCGAGUUAAAACCCCUUUUUAGUUACUUGUUCAUCACAAAAACAUAUAAAAUCAUACAUUCAUGCAUAAAAUCACACAUAUCAUACACAUACACAUAUAUCUACACAUUUUCUUGUAUUCUCCCCCAUAAAACAUAUGGAAACCGAAAAGAGAGGGGUAUGAAGCUCAGCUUGAGUUGUGGGUUCGGUUUUGAAGAGAGAAAUGAUGAAGAUUCGAUUCUAGCAAGUCUUUCUUGAAAGAUUUGACUUAGAUGUGUUCUAAGAUGCAAGCUCACGAGCUAGAUCAUGGAUUAAACAUCAUCUUACCUUAGAUGAUGAGUUUUAUGGUUUGUUUUCCUUGAAAAAGCCUCCUUAAUUUCGAGAAUUUGAUGAAGGAUGAAGGGAGUUUCUUUGAGAGAGUUUGAGUGAAUGUGUGUGUGUGUGUUUGUGUUGUUUCGGCUGAGAGAAAAAGAGAGAGAUAUUGAUGGGAUGUUUGCAUGGAGAUAUGAGAUGAAUGCAUGCAGAUCCAAGGGGUAAAUGUGAGGUGGCAAUGCUAAAGUGAACCCUUUCUCUCUUGGGUUGUUGGGCCGCGAAAGGAGAUGGGAAAAGGAAGAAAAUUGGGCUUUUUUCCCUUAGGCCCAUCAUGUGCUUUACUUAGAUGAUUUUUGGCCCAACUAAAUCAAAGCAUGAUUUUUAUGACCCAUUAGGACUAAUUUAAAAUUGUUGUGAUCCAAUAAGGCCUAAAACAUUAAGUUUCAUGUACAUGGGUCAAAUUUGGGCCCAUUUAAGAGUUCUAAGCCCAAAAUAGUCAAAUUGGAAGCCUAUGGGUCCAUUAGGCCCAAUAAGGGAAUCCUAGUCCAAAAUGGACUUAAACUGGGAUUUUAAGGGUUUCCAAUUCUUUAUUAACUAGUUGUAGUGCUUGAAUGAAGUGUUUUAUGAAGUUUUGUUGUUAUUGAAGAAGCAUCAUACAUGUUUUCACAUUGUUGGUUCACAAUUGAUAUAAUUGUUGUAGUUACAAAGCAUCAAAAUUUCUAGUUGUGACAUCAUCCCCCCGUUAGAGGGAAUUUCGUCCCAAAAUUCUUUUGAAAGCUAGAUUUGAGGAUGUGAGAAUAGGUGAGGAUACUUCUGCUUCAUUUGAUCUCCGCGUCCCAUGUGAAUUCAGGUCCGCGCCGUGCGUUCCAUCGAACCUUCACAUUCGGAAUGCCGCUCUGCUUAGUACGCUUCACCUCUCUAUCCAUGAUUUCGAAUGGUUCUUCGAUGAACAGGAGAUUCUCAUUGAUUUCUAUUUCAUCAUGGGGAAUGAAGAGGGUUUCAUCGGAUAAGCACUUCUUUAGAUUUGAAACAUGGAACAUGGGGUGUACACUGCUGAGCUCAGUGGGUAGCUGCAGUCUAUACGCCACUGUACCAAUUCGAGCAAGAAUCUCGAAAGGUCCAAUGUAUCGCAGAUUCAAUUUUCCCUGUCUUCCAAAACGAAUAACCCGUUUCCAGGGGGAGACUUUUAACAACACCUGAUCUCCGACUUGAAACUCCAAGGGCUUUAGCCAUUUAUCAGCGUAGCUCCUCUGUCGGUCGCGUGAUGCUUGUAGUCGAGCUCUGAUCUGAAUUAUCUUCUCGGUCGUCUCGCGUAUGAUUUCUGGUCCCGUUAAGGAAUUGUUUGGCAUUUUGCCCUCUAGCUAGUUGGGUGUCUCCUACCUCAGCCCAGCACAUCGGUGAUCUACAUUUACGCCCGCAUAAUGCUUCGAAAGGAGCGACUUUGAUACUCGAGUGAUAAGCGUUGUUAUAUGAGAACUCAAUCAGAGGCAAGUGGGUAUGCCACAAUUUUCGAAAGUCUAUCACACAUGCACGGAUCAUAUCUUCCAUAGCUUUUUGAAGCAAUUGCCAAAAGCGGGAAGUAAAUCUACUAUCUCUAUCUGAGAUGAUAGAUACGGGUACUCCGUGUGUCACACCCCCAAACCAGAAUGGCGGAAACAUUCGGGGGUGGAUGACUUCACGUAGUAUCACAACCAUUGAAUAUUGUAAAGAAAGUAACACAACCAUCACAUAUAUAAUGAAAACGUAUGUUGUUGCGUUAUACAUAAUAGAAAAAGAAUAUUACAAUGAGAUGAUAAAUGUUCAAUAAUAAAACAUCUUUAGUGUUCCUUUCUCCAAAAGCUGGUGGUUACCUGUAUUACUGAUUCCCUGAGAAAUACAAGUGGUUUCGAAAAAGUGUCAACAAUUAAGUUGGUGAGUUCAUAAGCGUUUUGUAUGGAAAAAGUAUGUCCUUUUUGAUAGUAAACCGAUGAACGAGGUUUUCAGAAAAUCCAAUAUUUUCUAUAAAUGAUUUGAAAAGUUUCCCGUGUUGGAGUGCGUUUGUGUUUUCCAUACUUGAAUAAUAGUGAUAAAAUUUGUGUUAACGAUAAAAUGGAAAACUGAAAUGCAUAUAUGAAUCUCGUAAAUCUAACUUGUUUUUAUACUUUUAUGUGAGUUUUAUAACCAUGCUAAUGACAUUGUUGGCCUGUAACAACGUUCUUCAGGCGUUGGAACUGUUAUGACAUUUGUCACCCCAGGCCUGCCGGCCUAGCUGUAGCUAACAGCUUAGGUGUGGGAUUGUCAAUCCCGUAUAGAUCUAUACACAAGUAUCACGCUCCCCCUACAAGGGAUUAUGGUAUAUAAUACAGGACUUAAUAAUGCAUACUCGAACGUACGUGAAGCUGUCUCACAUUACUAGGUAUAAACAGAUUUACGAUGAUAAAAGACUGUACUUCUUUUGAAAGCAUUUCAUUUGUCGAGAUGUAUAUGUAAAAUGUAUGAAUCACUUGAAUACUAUGCUCAUUAUAGUUUGUCAAAAGUAUGUUCCCAUUUGGUAAUAACAACUUGGUGAUAUAAUAUCCCUUUAAAACAUAAAGUUAUUUUUGUAUCAACACUCUAUAAGAACGAUAUUAUAAAAAUAAUACUUUGAUUUGUAAUGUACUUGUAUUUCCCCCCCUAAAACGUGAAAAGAAUUGAAAAGUAGGGGUAUGAACUCACUCGUUUCGAAGAGAGAGGCUAGGGUUGAGCAGAACUUCGUCCGCGGAUGGUUGCGUCGUCGGGCUCUUCGGGGAUCUCUGCAGCGUAAAUCUUCCGUCGGGGGCUCGAGUGCGGAAACCGAGGUCGUCGGGAGUGGUCUCUGGGGCUUAGAAGUAUGGGAGAAUGACUGAUGAAUUGUGAGGGUGUGCCAAAGUUCGAAGCUCAUGCCAUCUAUUUAUAGUGCUGGAAAACCCCGUACGCGGCGCGUACUUCCGGAGUACGCGGGGCGUAACAUGGCGUCAUGGCUUACGACUCGGGUCUAGCUAGCGUAGCUUGGGCGGGUCGAUGGGACUACUGGUUCUAGCCGGGUGUAGCUUGGGCGGGCCGAUGAGACUCGACUCUGGGUCUAGUACGCGGGGCGUACUCCCAGAGUACGCGGGGCGUAAUCCCUGCUUCCGACUUCUAAAUUCCGUAACUUUCGCGUACGAUCUCCGUUUUUCGCGUUCUUUAUAUCCACGCGUAGGUGAGAUUAUGCUCUACAACUUUCCUUUAGACUCCGUCGGCUAGUUUUGACUUUAUUUUUAAUGAUAUAUUUUUAAUAGGCCGGGCCUCCUAAAGUUCGUUAAAAAUUCAUAGGUUCUUUAUUCGACGUCGGUUUUCGUUUGUCUUUUUAUUGUUUUAUUACUACUGAGGAGAUCUUCAACUUUCGUUUAGGUUGCGUUAGCUAAAUAACACUCGAUCUUCAAUCCGAGUUUUUAGCCCUCUACUACUGUUACGAAACUUUGAAAAUUCGUAACUUCUUCAUACGAGGUCCAAUUUGGGCGAUCUUUUUAUGUACGUUCACCUUUCAACGAGAUCUACGACUUUUGUUUAGAUACUUAAGGCUUAAAAUGCAUUUUAUUGAGAUUCUACUUUUUACGUCAAAUAAUGUUUUAACGUCGCGUCGUAAAUAUACGAGUGGUUAUAAUUUCUUCAAUAUAACCCGGUUUUGAGCGUUCUUUAUGUUUUUGGAAACCUUGGCAUGAUAUCUAAUAUUCGAUGCAUCCCAACUUAGAUACUUGAACACUUUAUUUUCGAGGUUAAUUUCGUUGUUUUUAGCUUUCGAGUGUUUACAAUGCUUUUUGGGAAAAAUAGGGUUGUCACAUCAUCCCCCUGUUAAGGGAAUUUCGUCCCGAAAUUUAAUCUAAGAUAGAGUUUACAGUUUUAGGAAAAAGAUGCGGGUACUUUUGUUUCAUCUGAUCUUCGCGUUCCCAGGUGUAUUCAGGUCCUCGCUUGGCGUUCCAGCGGACCUUUACAAUGGGUAUGCGGCUUUGUUUAGUCCUUUUGAUUUCCCGAUCCAUGAUCUCUACUGGUUCCUCCACAAAUUGAAGGUUUUCAUUUAUUGCAAUUUCGUCUAGAGGGACGACAAGGGUCUCGUCGGAUAAGCACUUCUUUAGAUUUGAUACGUGAAAGGUAGGGUGUACGUUGUGGAGUUCCUGAGGUAGUCUAAGUUUGUAAGCCACUGGACCGAUCCUGGCAAGGAUCUCGAAUGGUCCGAUGUAUCUAGGGUUCAGUUUUCCACGUUUUCCGAAGCGUAUUAAGCCUUUCCAAGGUGAGACUUUGAGUAGGACAUGGUCUCCAACUUGGAAUUCCAAGGGUUUGCGUCUCUUAUCUGCGUAACUCUUUUGUCUAUCUCUUGAUGCUUUUAGACGUUCUCGGAUUUGAACAAUCUUCUCCGUAGUCUCCCUUAUGAUUUCUGGUCCAGUGAGCGUGUUGUCAGUUGCUUGUCCUUUUGCUAGUUGCGUGUCCCCCACUUCGGCCCAGCACAAAGGUGACCUGCAUUUGCGGCCAUAGAGGGCUUCGAACGGGGCAGCCUUGAUGCUGGUGUGGUAGCUAUUGUUGUACGAGAACUCGACCAAUGGUAGAUGUGUGUCCCAUGCUUUGCCAAAAUCGAUUACGCAAGCUCUCAGCAUGUCUUCUAGGGUUUGUAUAGUUCUCUCACUCUGGCCGUCGGUUUGUGGGUGAUAAGCGGUACUCAUGUCUAGUCUUGUCCCCAAAGCUUUUUGUAGCGACUGCCAGAACCUUGAGGUGAAUCUACUAUCUCGGUCCGAGAUAAUGGAUAUGGGCACACCAUGCAGUCGUACAAUUUCUCUGAGGUAUGUCCUUGUUAACUUCUCCAAUUUAUCCGUCUCUUUGAUCGGUAGGAAAUGCGCUGACUUAGUUAACCUGUCGACAAUUACCCAAAUGGUGUCGAGUCCGCUUGUUGUCUUGGGCAACUUUGUUAUGAAAUCCAUGGUUAUCCGCUCCCACUUCCAUUCGGGUAUUUCUGGUUGUUGUAAUAAACCCGAGGGCUUCUGAUAUUCCACCUUGACUUUGGCACAUGUCAGGCAUUUGCUUACGUAGGUAGCAAUUUCGGCUUUCAUGUUUUGCCACCAGUACAACUUCUUGAGAUCGAGAUACAUCUUAUCGGAGCCGGGAUGUAUGGAGUAUCGUGUUUUAUGGGCUUCGUCCAUAACGAUUUCUCUGAAUCCACCAAACUUCGGUAUCCAAAUUCGAUCCAUGAAAUAACGAAUUCCGUUGUUCUUGGUCUCAAGGUUCUUAUCCAUUCCUCUUAGGGCUUCUCCUGUCACAUUUUCGGAUUUCAAGGCUUCUAUUUGGGCUUCCUUGAUUUGCGUGAACAGGUGUGAAUGGAUUGUCAUAGUUAGGGAUUUCACUCGGCGACCUGAGUACUCCUUCCGACUGAGUGCAUCAGCCACUACAUUAGCCUUUCCGGGGUGAUAUCGAAUUUCGCAUUCAUAAUCACUAAGUAGUUCUACCCAUCGCCUCUGUCUCAUGUUGAGUUCCUUCUGGUUGAGGAUAUGUUGGAGGCUUUUAUGAUCAGUGAAGAUGGUACAUUUUGUGCCGUAGAGAUAGUGUCUCCAUAUCUUCAGAGCGAAGACGACUGCUCCUAGCUCAAGAUCAUGCGUUGUGUAGUUCACUUCGUGCGUCUUUAGUUGUCUUGAGGCGUAGGCGAUGACCUUCCCUCUUUGCAUUAAGACACACCCAAGUCCUUGGUUUGAAGCAUCACAAUAGACCACGAAGUCCUCCGUUCCUUCUGGCAAGGUUAGGAUGGGCGCACUACAUAAGGCUCGCUUUAGUGUCUGAAAUGCACUGUCUUGUUUUUCUCCCCAGUCGAAGGUCACAUUCUUCUGGGUUAGGGUGGUAAGUGGCUUGGCAAUCUUUGAAAAGUUCGGUAUGAAUCUUCGGUAAUACCCGGCGAGUCCCAAAAAUUGCCGGAUUUCUGUAGGGGUUCUUGGAGUAGUCCAACUAUCUAUUGCCUUUAUCUUGGAGGGGUCCACGUGUAUUCCUUCUUUGCUUACAACAUGUCCUAGGAAAUCCACUUCCCGAAUCCAAAAUUCACAUUUGGAAAAUUUUGCGUAAAGUUUCUCUGCCCUUAAUGUUUCCAGUACUUGGCGGAGAUGUUUGCUGUGUUCUUCCUGGCUUCUUGAAUAGAUGAGUAUAUCAUCUAUGAACACGAUCACGAACUUGUCCAGGAAGGGACGACAUACUCGGUUCAUCAAGUCCAUGAACACUGCUGGAGCAUUCGUCAAUCCGAAGGGCAUUACCACAAAUUCGUAGUGACCAUAACGUGUUCGGAAAGCCGUUUUGGGGAUGUCUCCUUCCAGUACUCGUAGUUGGUGAUAACCAGACCUUAGAUCGAUCUUUGAGAAGUAGCUUGCCCCCUGCAGUUGGUCGAAUAGAUCGUCUAUGCGCGGUAAGGGAUAUCGGUUCUUGAUUGUGAGUUUGUUUAGCUCCCGAUAAUCGAUGCACAUGCGAAAGGAUCCGUCCUUCUUCUUCACAAAUAGGACUGGCGCUCCCCAUGGUGAGAAACUUGGUCUGAUGAAUCCCUUGCUUAGCAGCUCGUUUAAUUGACUGGAUAGUUCCUGCAUCUCGGCUGGGGCUAAACGGUACGGCGACUUUGCUACAGGGGUAGCCCCGGGGAUUAAGUCGAUUCUGAACUCGACUUGACGUUCCGGUGGGAUUCCUGGAAGAUCUUCUGGGAAAAUAUCCGGGAAGUUGCAGACUUCCGGAAUAUCUUUAAUGUUUUUCGAUUCUCGUUUCUUGUCUACUACGUGGGCUAGAAAGGCAUGAUAUUCCUUACGAAGAUACUUUUGUGCUUUAAUACAGGAAAUGAUUUGUAAACUUGAACUAGGUUUGUCGCCAUAAAUGACAAGAGUUUCACCGUUUGGCAGAUUUAAGCGAACAGCCCUUUCGUGGCAAAGGAUAUCGGCAUGGUGAAGGCUCAACCAGUCCAUACCGAUGAUGACAUCGAAACUUCUUAUGGAAAUGGGCAUAAGAUCGACUUGAAACAAGUGCUCGUUUAAAUUUAGUGUGCACCCUACGUAUAAAUCGUUUGCGUGUUCUGUUUUACCGUUUGCCAUUUCUACAGUGAAUAUUUUAUUGAGUGGUUGGGGUUCUUGAUUAAGUAGGUGUUUGAAUUUAUGACUCACAAAACUUCUCUCCGCACCGCAGUCAAAAAGUAUGCAUGCAUAAGUGUUGUUGAGUAGAAACGUACCCGUAACCACCGUGGGGUCCGCUAUUGCUUCUCUCUGUCCUACUGCCAGCACUCUCCCCACACCGCCAAUAUUCCUUUCCUUGGGACAAUCCCUCCUGAAGUGUCCAGUCUCUCCGCACCCAUAACAUGCCCGGCUUACCCCAGUUCCAGGAACCUGAGUAAUUGGUCGUGCCGGUGCUUUACAGAAACGGGCUGUGUGCCCUUUCCUGUCACAGUUCUUGCAGUGCAUCUCGCGACAAAUACCAUGGUGAUGGUAGUUGCACUUGCUGCACUUGGGCAGAAUCCCUGCAUAUGGUUUUGUUGGUGCAGAGGUAGCAGGAGUUGUGGUGGGGGUAGUAGCAGCAUAAACCGCAACCAUUUGUUUCUUUGAAGGUUCUUGUGAAGUUUGCCCCUUCCUUUUGUUCCAAAAUUUCUUCUUGUUGUUGUUGUUGGCAUUGAUUUCAUUGUUGCUGUUCCCUUUGGUUGGUUCAGCCAUAAUCGCCGCGACUCCUUGACAGACACCAUGAUCAACAAGAGAUUGCGCUAGUUCCUUGGCGCUGGCGAAAGUCAAGGGUCUGGAAGCUAGCACACUUCCUCGAAGUUGGGGUGAUAGUCCCCAAAUGUAUCUCUCAACCUUUUGGCUCUCCAGGGUUAACAUUCCUGGGCAAAGUGUUAUUAAGUCACUGAACCUGUUGGUGUAACCAGCUAUGUCCGAUCCUACCAUCGAGAGGUUCCACAGUUCCUGUUCAAGCUUCUGAAUCUCGCCUCUUGGGCAGUAUUCUCGAAGGAGCAUUCUUUUCAGGUUUUCCCAACCCAUGGAGUUUGCCACCACCAGGGUUAGUGUCUGGACGUGGCCGUUCCACCAUGUCAGGGCGCGUUCAGAGAAAGUAAAAGCGGCGAACUUUACUUUGCUUUCUUCAGGACAUGCACAGAUUUCGAAUACAGCUUCUGUUUUCUCUAUCCAUUGAGAUAGAGCCAAUACUCCCCCAGUCCCGCAAAAGGGAAUAGGUUUUCCGUUGGUGAAGUCUUUGUAAGUGCAUACCCCUGAACGGCUUUGACCUUGGCCAUUUGUAAAACUGUUUGUUCCUCCCCCCGAUCCGUUGUUGCUCAUUUGAGCCAUUGCUGCAGUUACAGCAGCGGUUACAGCAGUCUGGAACAUAACGGUGUCCAUAAUUGGAGGAGGUGGUGGAGGUGGUGUUGAAGUUGAGUUUCUGCGUGUUGAUCUACGAGGAGGCAUGUUCUGGUAGAGAAAAAUAAGAAUGAAUACUAUAAGUUUCUAAUGUUUUGACAAUCGUGUGUUAGUUGUAUCUUGUAAUUUGUUUUGACUUUAGUUUAUGGUUUCAAGGUAGGCAUAGAAAUUUAAAACUCGAAAUUUUUGAGAGGUAUAUAAUAAGAAAUACUUCAUAUUUAUACAUAUAGGUCACACCUGAGGUGUGUUACAUUGCAUAUCUUGUUCGGGAAAAUUUGAUCCUCCUAGAGAUCUCCGAUUACGGAUACAACAGGAAAAACAAGGGAAAUAAAGGAAAAACUUUUAUCCGAAAUCCUAAUCUAUAACAAAAUUGUUGGGCAUCGAACAAGCUCUACUUGCGGCGUUUGGAGCUAGACUCGGCAUCCGACCGUUUGACUCCCAUCAGUCGCCUCUCAAGAUCUGCUUGUUGUUCCUUCAUCUCUCUUAUAUCUGCCAGAGCCGUUAUCAUUUGGUUCUGAAGUGUCCCCGUGUAGAUUUGGGUAUUCUCAUGUAGUCAUUCCAAACGGCGAAUGUCAGCGGCGUUACCUUGGGUAGCAGCAUUGACCUCGCGAACUCUGGUUGCUUGCCCAUCCGUCUCGUAGUUUUGGGUAGCUAUAGCGUUCACAUGAACAGGAAGUGCUCGAUCAGCUGAGCUUCCCCCACUGACAUUGUAAAAAUCUCGGCACAUGCCGAAAGGAGGGCAUACACCUUGUUGGCGGCUCCAGUAGUAGAGGUGACUUCCCCACAUGGGAAUGGGUCCCGGUUGAUAUGGUCUGAUUUCGGGAGGAUGAGGGAUGGGAGGGUCGUACACUUCUGGCUCGGAGUCUGUCCCGCUAGAAAUCUCCACGAUCUCUUCGUCGACUUCGAACUCCUCUCCGACUUCGACUUCGAAUUCUUCCUCGACCUCUUCUUCGAUUUCCUCUGGGUCUUCCUCCGGGUCUUCUUCUAUCCAACCGCCGUUGCCUUGGUUUGGGUAGUAGGGAUCUCCUGGUAAAUGGAAUCCGGCCAUUUGUCUGUACUAGGAUGGAUGUAUGAGAACUUUAUAAGAAAAGAAAAUUCUAUUUAACGACUUACUAUUUUUAACUAUAAUUUGUACAACUAUUUUUAAUAAUACUCCUAUAAUAUUUCAAUUUGGCGAAACUAAAAUAAUUUGUAUUUGGUAAGUUCUUGGCUUGUUGUCCACUAUGACCAUUCCUCGACGUACGUUGGUCAAAUCCAGAAUAAAUAUAGUUGAUCAGGCUAUAUUCAUUCUCGACCUGAUUACAUACCCCGAGGCUCAAUCGUAGUGUCGUAACUUGCCUUAAUACUUUUUAGUAAAACUUUUUAUGAUACGAGAUUAAUGCAUGCUUUUAAAAAUGUAUAUCUUUAAAAGAAAGUAUUUUGUUCAUGAAAAUGUUUCAUCAGAGGGUUUUUGGUCCCCUUUGUAUUUAUAGUUUGUAUAUCGUAUGUGGUUCGAUAUACUUAGUUCACUAUAAACAAUGCUCUGAUACCAAUCUGUCACACCCCCAAACCAGAAUGGCGGAAACAUUCGGGGGUGGAUGACUUCACGUAGUAUCACAACCAUUGAAUAUUGUAAAGAAAGUAACACAACCAUCACAUAUAUAAUGAAAACGUAUGUUGUUGCGUUAUACAUAAUAGCAAAAGAAUAUUACAAUGAGAUGAUAAAUGUUCAAUAAUAAAACAUCCUUAGUGUUUCCUUCUCCAAAAGCUGGUGGUUACCUGUAUUACUGAUUCCCUGAGAAAUACAAGUGGUUUCGAAAAAGUGUCAACAAUUAAGUUGGUGAGUUCAUAAGUGUUUUGCAUUGAAAAGUAUGUCCUUUUUGAUAGUAAAUCGAUGAACGAGGUUUUCAGAAAAUCCAAUAUUUUCUAUAAAUGAUUUGAAAAGUUUCCCGUGUUGGAGUGCGUUUGUGUUUUCCAUACUUGAAUAAUAGUGAUAAAAUUUGUAUUAACAAUAAAAUGGAAAACUGAAAUGCAUGUAUGAAUCUCGUAAAUCUAACUUGUUUUUAUACUUUUAUGUGAGUUUUAUAACCAUGCUAAUGACAUUGUUGGCCUGUAACAACGUUCUUCAGGCGUUGGAACUGUUAUGACAUUUGUCACCCCAGGCCUGCCGGCCUAGCUGUAGCUAACAGCUUAGGUGUGGGAUUGUCAAUCCCGUAUAGAUCUAUACACAAGUAUCACGCUCCCCCUACAAGGGAUUAUGGUAUAUAAUACAGGACUUAAUAAUGCAUACUCGAACGUACGUGAAGCUGUCUCACAUUACUAGGUAUAAACAGAUUUACGAUGAUAAAAGACUGUACUUCUUUUGAAAGCAUUUCAUUUGUCGAGAUGUAUAUGUAAAAUGUAUGAAUCACUUGAAUACUACACUCAUUAUAGUUUCUCAAAAGUAUGUUCCCAUUUGGUAAUAACAACUUGGUGAUAUAAUAGCCCUUUAAACAUAAAGUUAUUUUUGUAUCAAAACUCUAUAAGAACGAUAUUAUAAAAAUGAUACUUUGAUUUGUAAUGUACUUGUAUUCCCCCCCUAAAACGUGAAAAGAAUUGAAAAGUAGGGGUAUGAACUCACUCGUUAAGUUUGAAGAGUGAGGCUAGGGUUGAGUAGAACUUCGACCGCGAAUGGUUGCGUCGUCGGCUCUUCGGGGAUUCCUGCAGCGUAAAUCUUUCGUCGGGGGCUCGAGUGCGGAAACCGAGGUGAUGGAAUGGUCUCUGGAGCUUUAGAAGAGUGUGAGAGUAUCUGGAGGUUUGUGAAUGUGUGCUUAAACUCGAAGCUUAUGCCUUCUAUUUAUAGGGCUGGAAAACCCCGUACGCGGCGCGUACUUCCGGAGUACGCGGGGCGUAAGAUGGCGUCAUGGCUUACGACUCGGGUCUAGCUAGCGUAGCUUGGGCGGGUCGAUGGGACUACUGGGUCUAGCCGAGCGUAGCUUGGGCGGGCCGAUGAGACUCGACUCUGGGUCUAGUACGCGGGGCGUACUCCCAGAGUACGCGGGGCGUAAUCCCUGCUUCCGACUUCUAAAUUCCGUAACUUUCGCGUACGAGCUCCGUUUUUCGCGUUCUUUAUAUCCACGCGUAGGUGAGAUUAUGCUCUACAACUUUCCUUUAGACUCCGUCGGCUAGUUUUGACUUUAUUUUUAAUGAUAUAUUUUUAAUAGGCCGGGCCUCCUAAAGUUCGUUAAAAAUUCAUAGGUUCUUUAUUCGACGUCGGUUUUCGUUUGUCUUUUUAUUGUUUUAUUACUACUGAGGAGAUCUUCAACUUCCGUUUAGGUGGCGAUAGCUAAAUAACACUCGAUCUUCAAUCCGAGUUUUUAGUCCUCUACUACUGUUACGAAACUUUGAAAAUUCGUAACUUCUUCGUACGAGGUCCAAUUUGGGCGAUCUUUUUAUGUACGCUCACCUUUCAACGAGAUCUACGACUUCGGUUUAGAUACUUAAGGCUAAAAUGCAUUUUAUUGAGAUUCUACUUUUUACGUCAAAUAAUGUUUUAACGUCGUGUCGUAAAUAUAUGAGUGGUUAUAAUUUCUUCAAUAUAACCCGGUUUUGAGCGUUCUUUAUGUUCUUUGAAACCUUGGCAUGAUAUCUAAUAUUUGAUGUAUCCCAACUUAGAUACUUGAACAUUUUAUUUUCGAGGUUAAUUUCGUUGAUUUUUAGCUUUCGAGUGUUUACAAUGCUUUUUGGAAAAAAAUAGCGUUGUCACACCGUGGAGUUUCACGAUUUCUUUGAUGUAGAUUCUUGUCAGGUGCUCCAUCUUGUAUGAUUCUUUUACUGGUAGGAAAUGGGUGGAUUUCGUUAAACUAUCAACUAUUACCCAGAUUGUGUCCAAAUCAUCCAUCGACUUGGGUUGUUUGGUCACAAAAUCCAUGGUAAUCUUUUCCCGUUUCAACUCUGGAAUUACUGGUUGCUUUAGUAAUUCGGAGGGCUUCUCAUAUUCCACCUUUACAUUAGCACAAGUGAGGCACUUGCUAAUGUAAGUGGCAAUCUCUGCCAUCAUAUUAGGCCACCAAUAAUGUUGCUUAACAUCCAAGUACAUUUUGUCUAAACCUGGAUGGAUGGAGUAUCGCGUUUUGUAGGCUUCGUUCAUGACUACCUCUUUGAAUCCUCCAUGUUUAAGGACCCAAAUGCGGUUCAUGAAAUAAUAUGCUCCCCCCUAUUUCACUUCGAGAUUCUUUUCCAUUCCACGUAAUGCUUCGCUUGUUUUGUUCUCUGCCUUCAUGGCAUCGAACUGGACUGCCCUGAUCUGAGAGGUUUAGUGGGAUUAGAUGCUUAUCGAGAGAGUUUUCACGCGACGAUUUGAGUAUUCUUUUUCACUCAAGGCAUCAGCUACCACGUUAGCCUUGCCUGGGUGGUACUUGAUUUCACACUCAUAAUCGUUUAGUAACUUAACCCAUCUUCGUUACCUCAUGUUCAAGUGUUUUUGAUUUACAAUAUGGUGGAGGCUCUUGUGGUCCAUAAAAAUGGUGCACUUUGUAUCGUAAAGGUAGUGCCUCCAGAUUUUUAAGGCAAAGACCACGGCUCCCAACUCCAGAUCAUAGGUUGUAUAAUUCACUUCGUGUGUCUUUAGCUGUCCUGAUGCAUAAGCUAUCACCUUCCCACACUGCUUAAGUACACAACCUAAGCCCUGAUUAGACGCGUCGCAGUAUACUACGAAAUCUUCUGUUCCUUCUGGUAAUCAUAGCACCGGCGCACUGCAGAGUGCUUGUUUUAGAGUUUGGAAUGCAGCUUCUUGCUAGUCCAUCCAUUCAAAGGGUAUGCCCUUUUGCGUAAGCACAGUAAGCAGUUUGGCUGUCUUUGAUAAAUUCUGAAUGAAUCUCCUGUAAUAGCCUACGAGACCUAGACUGGCCGAGUCUAACUGUAGCGAACAGCUGAGGUGUGGGGGAGUCACCCCCAUAUAGAUCUAUACACAAACUCUCGGUCUCACUCCAGGAGACUUUGAUUAUAACUACAGACUACGACCGACAUACGUUGGUGCCACCCGUUAUUAAUUACUAAAUCCCAAUUGACUUUGAUUACUAUUGAUUAUCGACCCGUAUUUGUUUACUUGGAUUAACGAUAGACCUAAAAAACGAGGAGAAGAGGAUUAAAAUAUCCUACUAUUCCCGCGUAUUAUUUAUGGCUAUUGAUUAUACGAAGGACACACUGACCCAUUUCGCAUUUGAUUUACAUGGACCUUACUAGCAAUGCUAAUGGGCCACUAAGGCCCAAUAGCACUUAAAAGCCAUUGAGGGUCCCUUAAAUAUGAAAUUGGGUCAUAGAAGGCCUAAUAACAUUUCUAAUUAUCCUUUGGGCCCAAAAAUUGUUAAUGGGUCAGAAAGGCACAAUAAGUAUGUUUGGAACUUUCAAGCCCAAAGAAUUUAAUGUUUACUUGUUUAAGGAAUUGUAUAAUUGUUGGAAGGUUUGAUUGAACGCUUGUUAUUUUUUUGUAUCGACACGAGACCCGUCGAUUUGUUUAUAACGAUAUUUAUAUUAUACGUAUAUUCAUCUCUCUAUUUUCAUGGGUUGUGACUUUUAGUAUUUUUGACUCAAAUAUCUUAGAAAUAAAAUAAUUGGUUCAAAAUAUUUGUUUGACCCCUUUUAGCCCUUUUUAUUAAAAAUAACCAUUUUUUGGUCCUUUAUACAAAAAAAAAAGACGUUUUAAGUGCUUAAAGCAUUUUCUUGACACAUUUGACCUAUAGGCUUACUCAAUUGAUAUUUUUAGUUCAAAACUUAUUCUUUGGCAGUUUCAGCCCUUCCAGACAAGUGAUUUUUGGUUAAAGCCCAAACUUUUGCAACUCUUACAAUUUUGGCCCAAAAUCUAAAAAGUUUACAUUUUUUAUCCUUGUUUGGAAAAUACAUCAUUUUGACUCCUGAAAUAGUUUUGUUUACUCUUUUUACCCUCUGUUUUGACAAGUUUAUCAUUUCACCCCCUUGAAAGUUGAAAUUUUCACAAGUCAUGGGCUAAUGGGCCAGAAAGCCCAAACUAUGACCCAUUAAGCUACAAUUUACACUUCUAGCCCUUAAAAGAGUAUGAUCUCCAUAAAAACAUUUAUUUUUACUGAUUUGACUCUUUUAGUCCUUAAGAAAAACCAUGAAUGGCAAUUUUGACCUAACUUUUGUUUAUUUGACAAUUUAAGCCCAAAAAUUGUCUUAUGUUGCAAUAUGUUGAUUUAAAUCUUAGAGGAUACUUUUCUUGAAUUGUUUAGUGUAAUAGACAUUAGAUCAUGUUUGCUUUCCUUCUUAUGUCAUGGAUCUCAAGAUUUCUAUCCUUUUUGUUUAAAUAUUCAACACAUAAGCACGUAAAUUCACACAUACAUACAUGAAAUCAUACAUAGCAUACACAUACACAUCGAUCUACACAUUUUACUUGUAUUCUCGCCCAUAAAACUUGAAAAAACUGAAAAGAGAGGGGUAUGAACUCACCUUGAGUUUGUGGGUUUGGUUUUGAAGAAGAAUGGAAGAAGUUUGAUGCUAUUCUCAGCCUAGCAAGCUUGUUGGAGGAUCUUUGGCUUAGAUGUGCUUUAAGAUGCAAGAUCACGAUUUGAAUUGAUUAGGAGGAGAUUUUUUAUGAAAUGAAGUAGUUAGAUCAUGGAUUUAAGCAUCAACUUACCUUAGAUGAUGACUCUUAUGGAGAAUCCUACAUGAGAUCUCUUAAAUCUCGAAAGUUUGAUGAAGAAGUGAAGGAGUUGUAGUGUGUUCUUGAGAGUGUUUAAGUGAUGGAAAAUUGUGUGUGUGUGUUUUACUCCCAGCCGAAGAAGAAAAAGAGAGGAGAAGAGAGAGAGAGUGAAGUGAUAGGUACUUGGAAAUAUGAGAUGUUGCAUGGAUAUCCUAUAUGCUAUUAUGAGGUGGAAAGUAGAAAAGUCAACUUUUUUCUCCCAUUUGUGUAGUUGGACUGAGAGAAGGAGAAGAAUGAAAAGAAAUUGGGCCUUCUUGUGCUUAAGUCAAUAUUUUGGUCCAAUUGGAUAAUUUUUGUCCCAAUUGGUCUUUGGGAGGGUUCACGACCCAAAAUAAGUCAAGGAAUGAUUUUUAUGGCCUUUUUAAGUUAAUUAGAUUUGUUAUGGCUCAUUAGUGUAGUUUAUUUGAUUCUAGGCCCAUUAUGGCCCAAAAUGGUAAAAUAAAUGAAGUUGGGACCAAUUAGAGCCCAUUUAAGAAUUCUAAGCCCAAAAUAGUCAAAUUGGAAUCUUAUUCGUCCAUUAGGCCCAAUAAGAAAAUCCUAGUCCAAAAUGGACUUAAACUGGGAUUUGUAGUGUUUCCAAUUCUUUGUUGACUAUUUGAAGUGCUUGUAUACAAUGUUUGAUGGGGAUUUUGUUGUUAUUGAAUAAGAAUCAUAUAUUCUUUUACAUUUUUGGUUACCAAAUCUUAUCAUUGUUGUUGUUACAAAGGCUCAAAAUUCCUAGUUGUGAUAGUAACACACAAGGUGUCAUGAUGUAAAACCUACUGCAUCCCAAGCCUAUGAACAUUUAGAGUUUCCUUUGUAUUUAAGCCACUCUAAUCCAUAUUUGGGGUUCAUUACUAGCCUUAAAUACCCUUUUACCUUAAAAAACCCUAACCCUAAUUCACAUGGUAAUUCUUUUCCUUUUUGGAUCAUUUGUUGGCUUGAAGAGGAAGAGAAGAAAGAGAGGAAGGUGUUCUAUUGGUGGAGCUCGUAAGGAAAUAACAUCAUCAACAUUUCAUAUUGCUUCUUGACCUUUCUAAGUGUCAAAGGCUUAAACUUGAUUUCUUAAAGUGGUUACAUCUAAGUUCUUUUUGUUGGAUUAGUGUCUAAGGUUGUAACUAGAUUUGGUAAAUACUUGACCUGGUUGUGCAUGGUCCUUUUGGGUUGCCUUCACCAAAGCAACUUGAUAGGAUGAUUUAUGGAGAAAGAGAGAGAGAGAAAGAGAGAGGUGAAGUAUGGUUUAUUAAUAUACUAUAAGAAUACAAUAUUAAAAGAGAAAUCAUAAUGUUUAAUUAAUAUUGGACAAAAAUUAAUUAAAAAACUAAUUAUGUGGUUAAAAGAGAUUCAUUAAACUCUAGGGACUAAUAUUGUAAUUAUAAGAUAAUUGGAUUGUGGACUAUGGAUUCCUAAAGGGAAGGGGAUUGGACAAAAUCUAUGGGAAGCCCAUAUGAUUUUCGCCCAAGGGCCUUCUAGAAAAUUUCCAUGGGUUGCUAAAGGCCUAAGUAGGGAAUUAGGGGUUCUCCAAAAAACCUAGCAGCCUACACAAGUAUAAGUAGACCCCUAGGGUUCCCAAAAAUGUGGCUAAGUGUUCUCUAGCAUAUCUUGGACGAUUUUGGUGCUCCUCCUCCCUUUACAAUAUCAUCCUCUUGCUUAUGGUGUUUGUAAGCCAUUAGAGGAGUGACAUUUGUGACUCUAAGCUCCAAGGAAAGAAGAUUCAAGCCAUUCUUGAAGAGGUAAUCAUCUAGAUCUGUUCUCAUAUGUUAAUCUCGAAAUAUGUGUGCUAGAUCUAGGAUUCUUAAGUCUUGGAUGAAUUGCAUCUACAAUAGAGAAACCUAGAUCCAAGACUUAUGGUUUUCCAUGAGCACAUACGAUGUUUCUUUUGUAUAAAACCCAUCAGUGGUAUCAGACCCUUGAUUGGUUUCUAUUGUAUUGAUGCCUUCUAUGUCCAUCUUGCUGAAAAUCAUUUUUUUGCCCUCUACCCAACCAGACUCCACGAGUCAGUGGAUGAACUCGGCGAGUUAGCCUGACUCGGCGAGUCCAGGGGUCAGACAGAUGAUUUUUUGGGAUUUUGAGCUGUUUUGGCUUGUGAUAAUUGUUGGAUUAAUGUCUAAGUCCAUAACUAUAUUUGGUAAGACUUGACCCGACCCGGCAUGGUCCAUUUGGGUUGCAUACCAUCAUGCACUUGAAUGAGAGAAAUAAGACACUUAUGGUUAUUAAUAUAUUAUAAGUUCUAGUAUAUUAAUAAUAAGAAUAAUAAGAUUAUUUAAUUAGUAUUGAUCAAGAAUUAAUCUAGGAUUAAUUAAGUGAUGAAAAGAAGACUAAUUAAAUAUAUGGGUUGAUUGUGUAAAUCAUCCAUACUUGUAUAGUGGGCUAAUGCUCCAUGGAUAAUCAAGUUGGGCUAAAACCCAUAGGAUGGUCCAUGGAUGCUCCAUGGUGUAUUUGUACCAAUGGAUCCAAGGAAAUGGAAAGCCAUGACAAUUAAGAGUUUACCCUAAUUGUGUAACUAUAUAAGCAUCUUAUUAUUGAGGAAAAAUCGGCCACUAGUAGUAUUCAAGAAAGGGCUAGCCGAUUUUGGUGAGUGUAGAAUUCUCUCAAGUCAUUCUAAGUGUUUUGAUGAUUGUGAUUCCAUUUGAGGUGUCACACUUGGGGCACUAAGCACUCAAGCUUCAUGAAGACUUUCUACAUCAAGAGGUAUGUAUUCUAUCUUGUUACAUUAUUGUUUUGUAUGCUAGAUUAGGAUAAUACCUUGGAAGUUCUUAUUUGCAUGUAUAAUAGAGAAAACAUAGAUCCAAGGUAUUUAGGGUUGCAUGUACACUUAGGAAGUGUUAGAAUGCUCAAAACCCAACAGUGGUAUCAGAGCCACGGGUUGUUUUCUGUUAUAUUGAUGCAAAUAUUUUAUUUUCAAAGUUGAAAAAAAAAAAAAAAAAAAACAUGAAGUUCGUCAAAUUUUAAGAUAAUUACUUGUUCUUGUGAAAAACUAAUUAUUUGUAAAAUUUGAAUAAUUUGCUUUAUGAGUUGAAUUAGGUCAAAUUUAAUAAAAGAUAAAAUAAUAUGAUUAUUUUAUUAGUUUUAAAAGUUUGAUCUAAAGAGUUUUAUUUUUUGAAACCUCCAUAAGUUAUGGAUAUGAAAAGGUUUUAAAAAAAAAAUUAUUCAAAGUUUUUUUGGAGUUACAAAAUUUGGUGUUAAUGUUUUAAAGGAUUCCAUAACUUAAGAAUAAGUUAUGGAUCACCAAAAGUUUUUUGUGUUACCUUGUUUUAUGAGUGAAUUUAGAUUAAUGAAUAAAAUUAUGUGAUAGUUGGUUUUAAUCCAAAUUAAUCUAAGAAUUGAUUCUAAAAUGUGUUUUUGUAACUUGUCCUCAAGUUAUAUGAAAAGUCACAUUUAAGAAUCAUAAAACUCAUAAAAAUUGGCAAAGGUUACAAAAAUGAAGAGUCUAGUUCUAAUUAAAUGGUUUUAUGACUCCAUAACUUGUCCUCAAGUUAUGGAGGACCAAGAGUCUCUUCAUUUAAUAAAAUAAAAUAAAAUAAAAAAAAGGGUAACCUUAAUUAAUUCCAUAAGUUAUAAAAUAAAGAAAAGUUAAUUCUUUUAUUAGUUUAAAGUCUUCCAUAACUUGUCCUCAAGUUAUGGAACUUGAAGAGUUUUUGGAUUAAAACUACUUUAAACACAUAAGUUAUGGAAUUAAUUAGUUUUGAAUAGUUUCAAAACUUGCCCUCAAGUUUUGGAAUUUGUAAAGUUUUCACUUAUGAAUACUUUAAUUCCAAGUUAGCCCUUAGAAUUUUAAAAGUUAAAAUUCAACCCUUAUACUUUAUAAUAUUAUAAGUUAAUAAUAUAUAUAUGUAUAAGAGUAAAGUCAGUCUUACCGCUAGUACGCCUCAUUCACGAAGCCGGUCUAUAAGGUGGGUAUAAGGUUGUUGCCUAUAAAAUGGCAACUUAAUGGGUGUCCACUCUCACCCACCGCUUGCUUGACUGGUGGAGGGUCGUUAGCCGAACGGGUUUGACAGGACUAGAAUUCUCCCUUCAUUAAAAGUAUUAAUGAUAAUACUAAGUAACUAAACUCUUAAUAAUACCCAAUCUUAGUUACUUAGGAAAAAUGUGAAUAAGGUGCUAAUCCAUGAAAUUACACUUUACACUUUGUCUAAGUCGUUAGUGGAGCGUGUGUGGUUAACCGGCACACUAACUUGGACUUAACAAGGUAGGUAAAGGGUGACUUAAUAUUUAUCAUAGUAUCGAUGGAGCGUGUGUGGUUAACCGGCACAUCGAUUGAGGGGUAAUUUAUUAAGGGUACCAAGUGAUUUGCAUGGUUACUUCACACCUUGUUUUGUGAUCCUCGGCAUCCCAGUCACAAAACCUGAAGGGCACACUCGAGAUUGAAACAUGCCUUUGAAAAGUUCAAUGAAUCUCAAAGAUCUAGGAGUUUCAAAACCAAUUAAAACCUAAUAAUACAUUUCGUUUAUCUUGGUGGAAAUUGGUGAAUCGUCAUUCACCUACCUUCAAAUAUUUUAUAGCUUGGAUUACGGCAUACCUCUUCUAAGUUAUAAAAUAGUUUGUUGGGUCCUAGCCUUAAUAUUUCAUAUUGGGUGUCAUAUUAAGGACUUUAAAUCAACUAUCUUGAAUAUCUCCCAAAAGAUGUCUGGUUUAGACACCUAUGAUCUUCCCAAAUCUCUUGAAACAAGGUUUCCUAAUGAAGAUGAUGUCCCAUGGAUAUCAUACUUCUUCACCUCUUCAAAUUAUUCUCCCUAACCCACAAGUUCUUGAAAAGUUUAAGGUCACUCAGGCCCUAUUGGCAAGGCAAGGUCUAGGUGUGGUCACAUCUUGGAGAUGUAGUCACAUAUUGACAAGCCGGGAGAGUUGGGUGUCAAAGUCUUGAGAAAGUUGGUGGUUCAACCACUUUCUAAGUCACAUAGUGAGUUCCUUUGGGACACCUAUGAAACAGACUAUGACAAGACCCUUAAUGAUCUUAUCUAUUUGCUAAGAUCAACUUCCUAAAACUUUAUGGACAUUGACAAUGAUGACAUUGGAUAUCCAGUAAAGCAUUCUCUUCCCAAUGGAAAGGGAUCGGCUAUAGUCAACUCGGUUGACCAAAUGGUAAAGAGAAAAGCUAAGUCUGUGAUAGUCCUGUGUACCAUUAUCAAAGGGUCCAUAUGUUUGUAUUGCCAAAGAAAGGGCAUUGGUUGCGAAGCUGCCAAAUUUACCUAAGGAUGUUAAAGUCAAUAAGUUUGACUCUACUUCAGGUAAAAUCCACUAUCUAACUCUGUUAAGUUUCUAUUCUGAGAUUCUUGAUACAUGAUGUGACCGGGUCGCAUGGUGAUGGUUUAAGAAUCAAAGGAAAGUGAAGAAACUUAAAGGAAGAAUAUGCUGAAUCUGAUCGCAUAGAUGGAUUUCUAUCGCAUAGUUUGAAAAAUCGGAUUCUUGAGCUACUUCUUAGGAGUUAUGAGAUAUUGCUUAGGAAUAGAUAACAACAAGUUUUCAUAUGGAUUGUAAGGAUAGUUUUUCCGCAAAGUUUUAAAAUAAAAGGAAAUUUUUGAUUUUAUUUAUUUUAAAAUAUCCUUACAAUGGCAUCUGUGGAAAUUUUUGUUGCUUAUAAGAUUCCAUUAGUAGCAAGAGUGGAAGUAUGAAAUUGAUUCUUUCAUUUGUGGUAAUGUCUAAAUUUACCAAAUAAGGAAAGAUUCUCAUCACCCAAGUUUCAAUUGGACCGGAACUUGGAAUCAUGCAAGUUGUAUAGCAUGAUGAAUGAGAACUUUCAAGUUUUGGAAAAUUAAGACUAAUUACUUGUUCACAUGGAUGUGUGAGUCAAGUAAAGGACUUAGGGAUCGAGUACACAUUCUUGUGCACUGAUUAAGUCCACCACUAAAGAUCGAUAAGAAGAAUCAAAUAAGGCAGAAGGAUAAAAGUUUCUCAAAUCUGAAAAGAUGGGAGAGUACUUUAGUAUCAGUUUUGUGAUCAUCUUAAUGAUUAAGAAACCAUAUCAAAAUUAGUUCUCUAAGGAAAUCUUAGUGCAUUCUUAUGACUAAGAAGAGGAACUUGAAUUGUUGAAAUGGUUAAAUCAAGAAGAUGAGUCAUACUUCGUUCCAAUACAAGUCUUAGAGUCAUACUCCAAGAUUGUCAUUUGAGUGACAUGUCUUAAAGAAGGUUUAAAACACUUGUCAAAUGUAAGAGUAAAAGUUUUCUACUCUUGUACAUUUGAAAUUGGUAAGUUGUGAUGUUUUGGAUAAAACAAAGACCAACUUAGGCCAAUUGGGUAAAGUGUUUUUCUUGAUUAGAAUCCGCACUAUCUCUUGGAUGUUUGACAAGGGAGUCUUAUAUGUCAAGAGGACAGUGGGAGUCUUAAAGGUCUUGAAAGUCUCAAGAAAUAAUCAAGAAUAAAACCUAAAGUUCUUCACUAGCACACGACUUGAGGUUCAUAACCUAUCGUGUUGACAUAUUCUGUGCCCAUUCCAGUUAAAGUUGGUUUUGCAUAUGAGUUCUUAGAGUUCUCAAUUUGUUGCACAACAACUUGGAAGCAAUGGCAGGCCCUUGAGCUGCCAGGUGGCAAGAAGUUAAGAUUGAGUUCAAUCCAUAUGGUUUUGGAUUUGUCAUUAUCUUUGUCUUGUGAUUAUGGUUUGACAAAUUCAUAUGGGUAGGAACUCAUACACCAUAUAAAUCUAAGUGUCAUAAGGUUUCUCUCCGAUUCAUGAAAAUGAUGGUGAGGAAACGCUUUCACUAAGUAGAUUUUACGAAGAUAUCAAUUGUGUUAUUUGCAUUUUCAAAAGUCGUUAGUGGAGCGCGUGUGGUUAACCGGCACACUAACAUGGACUUGUGAGAAAUGGCAAAUGCCUAAGCAAUUGAGACCAUGAUUACGGUAUCCCUUUUCAUGGUUCUUGAAAUUGCUUAGACACACAGGUGAGCUAUCUACGGAAAGGGUGUAUGAAUCUAAAUUUCAGACUGUCCAGCUGAUUUCUGAGUACAUGUCAAAGCUAGUGGGAGCAUAAGUGUUAUGCUAAUAAUCAUCAUGUUAGUGGGAGCAUGAUAAUUAUGAUAAGUAUUGCAAGUUAGCAAUGUUAAUUAUAGAAAACAAAAGUUUCAAUUGGGAAAAAGUUGUUUUGCUAUAAUUAAGGGAGAGGAAAUUAUGCUUCAUCUCAAAUCUAUAAGCUUAGAUCGUGAGGUUUUAAUCAUUUAGUCAAGGAUAUAUAUGAAUUUCAUGUUGGAAUGGCUCAACAUAAGGAAAUUCUGUAUAUGGGUCCAUUAUUUGCGUUCUAAAAUUCGAUUAUGAUUACGGCAUCCCUUUUCAUAAUCUGAAUUAUGAGAACUUGGCAAAUUGAAAUGGAAAUAUUAUAGCAAAAGACUGGUUUAGUCUUUAUGUAAGACAUCAUGAAUCGUGUCCCAUAUGCUUCGGAUAUAGGAUCGAUUACAUGUGCUAUAUUCAUCCGUUCUAAAAUUUUCCAAAUGCCUGGGGCAUUAAGAAGGGAAAAGGUUUAGAACUGGAUAUGACUAAAAGGAUUAAACAAUUGUCGAGGACAAUCUAAGGUUUACCAAAGAUUGGUUACUCAAGGACAAUUGGAAGUAUAGUGAUAAUUCUGGAAGGACCAUAUUGACAUAAUCUGUAAGGAGGCAACUCUUGUUCAGAAGUGAUAGUCAAAAUGGAAUCUGGAAAUGUUUCAAAGUUAGAAUUUUCAAUCUGUGUAAGAUUAAGGAAACUUAAUGCAAGAAGGAUAUUUCCAAGGAGUUGAUCUCCUUUGGAAUACUCUGUAAUGAUUGUUGCCAAGUCUUUGUGACUUUGUGCAUAAUCAUUACAAGAGGAUCAAUGCAUAUAAGUUUAGAAUCUAACAGAUUUCAGUAAAUGGCAUGAAUUUGGAAUUCUUGCAUUUGCAGUAAGGAUUUGGGAGUGUGAAAAGAGAAUCAUUGAAGUUAUGUUCAAUUGAUCUAGUUCACAAAGUAAAGAUCAUAGACAAACAUAGUAUGCAUACUUGGUGUGUGGCAUGACUAGUGUUUAAGAAAACAUAGUGUACAUGCUUGGAGCAUGGGACAACUAUUGUUUUAAAUUCAAGAAUAAAGUUGAUAGCUGAAACAGUAUACAAUGAAUAAUGUGUAAUCAUAUGGUGAUAAAUAAAAGGUGUUUUAUUUAUGUUCAAAGGGUUGAUACCAUAUUGGAUUCAAUUAUUAUUGUGUUUCAUUUUGCAUGUUUUGACUUCCCGAAUAAACUGGGUUAUUCUUCCGGAAUGACUAAGUUAUUCAAACCAUCCACAGUCGGUCAUAUGUUGGAAGUAGAUAUGAAUUAAGACUGUCAUGGGUUGGCUUGUAGAGGUCUAAGGUGUUGGACAAAGGGCUACAACACUCAUGAGUGCUCAUAAGUUCUGAGUAUUGGAUUCAACCCGCGCUCAUUGGAAUCACUUCAUGGAUUUUAUCACGAGUGAUCAUGAGACGAUAAUAUCUUAUAUUCUUCAAACCUAGAGAUAUGAGUUGUUACUAUGAGUUGAUAGUACAUUGAUUGCACGAAAACGCAUUUGGUAACUCGGUGCUAUAAAACGUGCCUUUGUGUAUGAUUCAACAAGUAGUAGAACAAGCCAUAUGAGUCGAAGUUUAUCCAUUCCUUUUACCUUCGGGAUAAAAGCGAUAUCUGUGGGCCCCUCGAUGAUUUGAUGAUGACAAAUGGAAGUGCUCGGCCGGGCCAGGACUGAUUUGAUUUGUUCAAUUAGUCAGUCGUCAUAAAUCGGAAAUCGGGAAACAACAAAUGGACAGAGAGAAUGAUUAUAAUCCAUGUCUCAGUCCAUAUGAUAUCUAGAAUGGAGGAAUAUAUGAUCCCUUAUCUAAUGGACAAGUCAUUGACAAAGGUCAGAGUUCAUCUACAAGGUCAGAGUUCGACAGAAGCUUUUGAGAGCUACGAUUGCCAGUUGGUUCCUGAAGUCAUACGCAAUAAUAGUUUUAGACUUAUCCAAGUGGGAGACUGUUGGAUUAAUGUCUAAGUCCAUAACUAUAAUUGGUAAGACUUGACCCGACCCGGCAUGGUCCAUUUGGGUUGCAUACCAUCAUGCACUUGGAUAGACUAUAAUGAGAGAAAUAAGACACUUAUGGUUAUUAAUAUAUUAUAAGUUCUAGUAUAUUAAUAAUAAGAAUAAUAAGAUUAUUUAAUUAGUAUUGAUCAAGAAUUAAUCUAGGAUUAAUUAAGUGAUCAAAAGAAGACUAAUUAAAUAUAUGGGUUGAUUGUGUAAAUCAUCCAUACUUGUAUAGUGGGCUAAUGCUCCAUGGAUAAUCAAGUUGGGCUAAAACCCAUAGGAUGGUCCAUGGAUGCUCCAUGGUGUAUUUGUACCCAUGGAUCCAAGGAAAUGGAAAGCCAUGACAAUUAAGAGUUUACCCUAAUUGUGUAACUAUAUAAGCAUCUUAUUAUUGAGGAAAAAUCGGCCACUAGUGAUAGUGAAGAAAGGGCUAGCCGAUUUUGAAGAGUGUAGAAUUCUCUCAAGUCAUUCCAAGUGUUUUGAUGAUUGUGAUUCCAUUUGAGGUGUCACACUUGGGGCACUAAGCACUCAAGCUUCAUGAAGACUUUCUACAUCAAGAGGUAUGUAUUCUAUCUUGUUACAUUAUUGUUUUGUAUGCUAGAUUAGGAUAAUACCUUGGAAGUUCUUAUUUGCAUGUAUAAUAGAGAAAACAUAGAUCCAAGGUAUUUAGGGUUGCAUGUACACUUAGGAGUGUUAGAAUGCUCAAAACCCAACAGUAAUUACCAAAAACGUCUUUCUUUAAUAAAAUCCGAAUUUUAUAAUUAUUUGAUAAUUAUCCUUACCAAAAUAGAAGAUAAUUGUCAAAAUUAAGAUAAUUACUUAUUUUAUAAGAUAAAUAUUAAUUAUUUGUAGUUUCGUUUUGAAUUAUCUUGUAAGAAAUUGAAUUAGGUCAAAUUUCGAUAAUUACCAAUUAUUUGAUUAAUUUAAUUAUUUGUAAUUUGAUCUAGAUAAUUUUGAAAAGUUUUCACAACUUGUUCUCAUAUUUUGGAAUUUAACAUUUUGAUGAAAAGUUUAAUUUUUGAAAUAUUAACUUCUAAGACCCUAGUUUUUGAAAUAGAUCAAAUUACACCCUUAUGGUUUUAUUAAAUUAAAUAAGUGUAUAAUUAAAAGAAAGUUAAUAAAUCCAUAAUGAAUGGUUUAUAUUUAAUUAAAUUAAAAGCAUAAUUUAUUUAAUUGGACCACCUAGUAUUUUAAAAGUGUAAAAUACAUCCUUAUACUAUAAAAAAUUAAAAGUCUAUUAUUGUAUAUGUAUGAGUAAAGAGUCAUUUUUACUGUUAGUAGGCCUGAUUCAUGAAGCUGGUCUCUAAGAGGUGUUUAAGGAAAUUGCCUAUAAAAUGGCAAUUGAAUAGAUAUCCACUCUUACCCACCGCACUCUUGACUAGUGCAGGGUCGUUAGCCGGAUGGGUAGGACAGCACACAACUUUCCAUUAUAAGUAUAAUGAAAUAUGAUGUAAGUAAACACUUUUAUAAAUUCACAAAUCUUAGUUACUUUAGGAAAAUGUGCAAUUGGCGUAAAUCCAUGAAAUUGCAAAUUGCACCUGUCACACCCCGAAAACCGAAGGCAGAAACAUUUCCGGGUUUGACUCCACGUUGAGUAUCAAAUCCAAUGUACAUAGUAAGUAAAGUAAAAGAACCAUUACAUUACAUAUAGAAAAGUUUUACAUUUGUUUCAAAAGCAAAGUUAUACAAGUGAUACAUAGUUUAUAUGAACAACACAAAAUGAGUCUUCUGAGAACUCCGUCUUCGUACAAAAGAGAUCGUCGGGUACCUGUCUAAUGCGAACCUGAGAAUACAAGCAGUUUCAAAAUCAGCAUAAAGCUGGUGAGUUCAUAAGAUGUUUGUCUUUCUGAAAAUGUUUGAGUUCCUUUAGCUUUCUGAAAAGUGGUUAUCCAAGAAAAUCCCAUAUUUUUCUUAAAAGUUGGUUACCAAAUCCGAAAAGUAAUGUAAACGAUGUAUAAUGAAAACAUGAUUGUUCUUAUGAAUUGUAAAGUUUAGUUAUCUAACUUGUACACUCUUCUGGUUUCGUACUAUGGCUACUUAGGAAAAUCCUAUAUUUUCCAAUAUGUGUGUGUGUGAACUGUUACUGAUUAUGUGUGCACGAAAUGUUACCGGUUUCGAUUAUGUUCAAUGUUAUCCCCAGGAAAACCCCAUGUUUUCCUAAAUAUGUGUGUGUACUGUUACCGAUUCUGAUUAUGUUCAAUGUUAUCCCUAGGAAAACCCCAUGUUUCCCUGAAUGUGUGUGUGUGUACUGAUAGUCCGAUUAUCCCUGAAUGUACAUUAGUUUUAUUACGUACAUAAAACUAAUAGAUAAGGUAAAAUGUUAAUAAUCUUCAUUGCGAGUCCUUAACCGUACUUAGACUAGAUAUGACUCGGGCCAGGGCCAAUAUCCUUUUUAUGACUUUCGUCACCGUUGAAACUUUCGGUUCGGUUGUAGCUAGCAGCCAGGUGCGGGAUUGUCAGUCCCGUAUAGAUCUAUACACUCAAGUCACGUUCUCCCUCCUGGAGAUUAUGGUUAUAGAGUUAGUCCUCCACUCUCUCAUGCCAAGGAAGUGUUACAGAGGACAUGUCUCCAAUCUCUAAGAUUACUCUUUACUUCUCGUGCCUAAGGAAGUAGUAUCUAUGACUAACUAAGUUCUAACGUGCCUGUUCUUUACACUCGAGACUAGGUGUAUUAUUAAGGACGUUGCAAUGUUCUAUGUUAUCUAAUCGUGACUGUCCUUUACACUCGAGCCUAGGUGUAAUAUUAAAGACAUUACGAUUGAUUUAUGUGUUCUGAUGGUGUCUACCUUUCACACUCGAGCCUAGGUGUAUUGUUAAGGACAUACAGAUGUUUUAUGUUUUCUAAUGGUGUAUGUCUUUUACACUCGAACCUAAUUGUUUUAUUACAGACAUUACAAUGUUUUAUAAUCUCUGUCAAUAUAAGUGUGAAAAAUCAAUUGUAAAGAAUACAACAUAACAGUAUAUAGUAAGAAGUGAAAAUCGGUUUGAACAAACAACUCUGCAAGUUAAAACAGUUCGUUAGUAGGUUUUCAAUUCUUAAAAAAAAAGUACAAUUAUGAAACCAUUUAACUGAAAUCAUGAGUUUAAGUACAAGAUAUUCUUGUACUCUUUCUUGUAUUCCCCCCUGAAAACAUUAAAAAACCAUUGAAAAAGGGUCGGGGUAUGAACUGACCGGACGCGGAAAUGUGUCGAAUGGAAUGCUAUACGUCAAAUCGAGGCUUGAUAAAACGCAAGGUUCUUAUGUAAUAUGAAAUGGCAUACAAAUAUAUCUAAUUAGAUUUACAAACUCUAAUUAGAUAUGAAGUUACACUACAACGAACGAAAACACCUCAAAACGGGAGUUUGGAGUGACCCGGGUGACAUCUAUGGACGUGUAUUGAUGCGAGGGACUUGGGAUUUGAGUUUACUCAUCAAGAGUAAACUCCCUAAUGAAUUUUGUGGCCGUAUACCCCUAUAUACAUGAGUUCACGGCCGUGAACUCAUGUUUGGGUGGUUUUGAGUGCUAAAAUGGCUUAAAUGGACAAGGGAAUGUUGGAAUGGAUUCUUCUAAUGCCAUGGAUUUAAUUGAAUCAACAUAUACAUCACAUUUGAGAGUUCACAGCUAUAAACUUAGAGUUUAUGGCCGUAAACUCUCCCAUGCUCAAACCAUAUUUAAUUUGUGAUGCUUAGGACAAUCGAAUGUGAUUCUAGUUAAUUUUCCCAGGCUUAGGGUGAAUUUAGGGCAUCAAAACAACAUAUACUUUUGAGUUUAUGGUCCUGGAGCAUGUUCUAUGGCCGUAAACUCUCAUAUGUGAGGUUUUGUUAUGUUUAAGGUCUCCAAACUAUUUUUAGAUGGUCCUAGGAUUUACCACAAGGCUAUUGGUUAAGUUUUAUGGCUUUCUAACAUGUUGGAAAUGAGUUUACUCUCAUGUUUGAGGGGUUUACGGCCCAAGCACAUGCCUUGGCUGUAAACUCAUGCAACUCCCUCAAAAUCUAUGUCUAAAGUGUUCUAAGUCCAUUUCAUGAAGUCAUAUAACCUUACCUAAGGUCUGGUUGUGGUUUGGAAUGGUUUAAGGUCUUAAAAACCCUCUAAAUAUGUGUUUACGGCCUAAGCAGCUUCUUGGGCCGUAAAAUCAUAUACAAGGUCCUAAUUCAUGCUUUAAUCUCGAAUUUGAAGGUCAAAUAUGAUAGACAAUGAGUUAAGGAAUGUACCUUGGUGAUUUGAAGCCUAGUUUUGAUGAUUUUGGACCUUGAAUAUAGUUUGAGGAGAGAGGUUGGAGAGAUGGUUGUCAAAUGAAGCAAAAGCUUCAAAUGAAAGCUUGGUUCAAUUUAAAUAGUGUCCAAGUUUGGGACACGGUGGAAUUCUACCCGAUACCGUCGUUANGGGGCUUUUGCGCACCCGGCCAAAUUGCCGUAACCCGAUAUGGUUGAUUCUAGAAAUGUUUCGAUCGCUAAUACUGGGCAUUAGAAUGAUUUCUAAAGGUAUUAGGACACUCAUUAAGUCAUAAAAUAAAAUACACAUUAAUGACUUAAUUAAAUGACGGAAUCGAAAACGAAAUUUGGAAACGGCGAUCGGACUAUCGAAAUGAGUUAUGAAAAGGGGUACAAGCAACGAAACAAAAUUUCGGGUUGUUACAUUAUCCCCCCGUUAGAUGGAAUUUCGUCCCGAAAUUCAAAGAUUCGAACACAAAUCACGAACUGAAAAGAGAUAUUAGGAUGAAUCUACUGGUUUGGGUCCUCAUGCUCCUAAGUGGAAUCGGGUCUCCGCUUGACAUUUCAGCGAACCCUCACUGUCAGGAUGUGGCUUUGUUACGCAAGACUAACCUCUCGAUCCAUGAUCUCAAUUGAUUCAUCCAUGAAGGUUCGUACUUCCGUUGGUUUCGAUCUCAUCAAGGGAUUUCUAGGGUUUCGUCAGGUCGGCAAUACUUUCUAUCAAAGAUGUGGAAUGCCAGAUGAUUGCUGCUGAGUUCUAAAGAUAGCUCGGAGAGGGCUAUGGAAAUCGAUUCCUAACAAGGAUUUCGAAGGGUCUAAUGUUCCAUGAGUUAAGUUGUCCGCACUUUCCAAAGCGUACUAUGUCUUUCCAGAGUAAAACUUCCAACAAGUGGGUAGAUAUUCAUGUGGCAGAGUAGCUAAGGGUCCGAUGGUUCUAAAGGAAACUUCUACGUGAGUCUACGAUCAUAGCCAACGGGACCCAAGAAUUGACGGGUUUCUAUGGGUAUCCCCAAUGCCGACUAAUUCUUUAUUGCCUUAGCUUUUGGAGAGGUUCACAUAUAUGACUGCUUUGCUUGUCUACUUGACCAGGAAAAUGGUUUGAUCGAAGGGUACCACUACUACUUCGUAGCGAUCAUAUCAAGCCCUGGUUGCUGUCUUGGACACAUCGUACUCACUAAGGUUUUUGGACUACGAGGUAAUUCCAGGGAUUUGGUCGAUGCGAAACUGGACUACGCAUUCAGAAAGAAUUCUCAAGAAUCCUUUGGAAACAGUAUCGGGGAAAGAAUUGCAGACUUCUCGUUUCUCGAUGAUCACAUGACCAAGGAAUACAUGGAAAAAAAAUCUUUUUAAGCUUUGAUGCAUGAAGAUCAUGAGAGUCGGGUCGGAGGCAGGUUAAGACGUAUGGCUUUCUCGAAACCAGGAAUAACAGCAUGAAUGAGGCUCGGUCAUUACAUGCCAAAGAUGGCAUCAAAGCAUUUCAUGAAAAGGUUUCCAUUAGAUCGAACAGAAAAGAAUAAUUGUUCGGAUUAAGGUUACAAUCUACGGAUAUGACGUUAGCGUCCUCAUUCUCACUUGAUAACCAUCUCGACAGUAUACAUUUUCGAUUACUCACAAACGAAAGGGUUUAAAAGAUCUUCAAAUGGAUGGUUAGCGAAUUUCUUUCGGCAAUAAAAUCGAAAAGAAUUACAGGCAUAAGAUUCAACGAGGGGAAAUAUACCUGUGGCAACGGUGGGAUCGGUAGCUGUCUCCUCUUGUCCUAUCGCUAGAACUCUUCCGGCGUUGCCAGGUGUUACUGCCUUGGGGCAGUUUCGCUUGAGAUUUCAACUUCUCCACAACCAUAGCAGGCCUGACCAAUGCCCGCUCCGGAAGUUUGACUAGUUGAUUGAGUUGGUGUCUUACAGUUUUUUUCCAUGUGACCCUUUAUGCCACAUUUGUUGCAAAAUACCUCUAUACAUGGGUUGGAAGGAAGGUGAUGAUAGUUGCAAUUUUCACAACUAGGAAGGGUUCCAGCAUACCUACUGGCAGGUUUUCGAGUUGAGGAUCCAACAACAGAGACAGCUGCAGUGGAAGUGGCAGCGUGAACUGCCACCGUUUGUUGUCUCUUCGAAGACUCAUGCGAUGUUUGACUUUUCUCCUUCUUCCCAACUUUUCUUUUCUCAAACUUCUCACUAUCGGCUCAGGAGUGGUAGUUGCCUCCUCAAGGUCUUCACUAUGAUGGAUUAGGAUUUGUGCUAAGCGUUUGGUGCUGUCGUAUGUAUCCGGCCUUGCAGCUAUGACGUUUCCCUUUGUUGGCUGCGUCAGCCCCCAGAUGAAUCUCUUUAUCUUCUUACUCUCUGGGGUAACCAUUCCCGGGCAGAAUAAUGCCAAGUCGUCAAACCUGGAAGUGUAAGCGGUGAUAUCAGAACCUUUCAUCUUCAGGUUCCAAAGUUUGUGUUCGAACUUCUACAUUUCGCCCCGAGGGCAGUACUCAGCCAGCAGAAGUUUCUUCAUAGCUUCCCAACCCAUGGCGUUGGCUAGAUUUAAGGUUAGGGAUUUGACUCAGCCGUUCCACCAAGUCAGGGCUUUGUCGAUAAAGGUGCAGGCGGCAAACUUCACUUUGUCAGAUUCUGAGUAGGCGCAAAUUUCAAACAUGGAUUCGAUCUUCUCGAACCAUCGGGUAAGGGAAAUGACACCUCCAGUUCCAUCAAAGGACGUGGGUUCUGCGUUCAUGAUAUCCUUAUAGGAACCCUGUUUUCGGUGCCCCUGACUGCUUUCUUGGUUUUGGGUUUGGGUACCACCUCCAGAACCAUCGGAACCGCCAGAGCUACGUUGAGACAUGGCAGCUGCCACUGCGACUGUAAUAGCUACCUGGAAUACUACAGGAUCAAUUUGGGGAGGAGGUGGUGGCGGAGGUUGGUUGGUCAUGGAGUUGGGUCACUUUCUUGGAGGCAUCUUGAUCUAAUAAGAUCAAGAAAGAGAGGAUGAUAAGUCCUCUGAAUUUAAUCAAGAGAUAUAACGGAUAUAUGCUGAAUAAGCGAUAAAGCUGGAAAGAGUUAUCUAAGCAGGAAAAUUAUCACUAAGGUAAUGAUCAAAGAACAAUGCGUGAACAAGGAUUUCUACCAAGGAUUGGCUCGAGAAAUACUCCCAUAGUAUUUCAUGAUUCGUUACGAAGCUGGUUCGAUGUUUGUGGUAUUAGGGUAAGUUUUAGGCAUGCCGCACACUACAGUCACUCCCAAGCACAUGUUGGCUGUGUCCUGAAUGAAUAUAGUUGGACAGGCUAUAUUGAACCUAGACACGACUACAUAACUGCCCAGGUUUAACGCAGUACACAACAACCAUUUACAUAUGUUUUGUUCUACUUGUAGUUACGGAUCUCGACGGUUCGGUAUACUUAUAUACUUUUGAAAAUACUUAGAUUCUGAAGGAUACUUUUAGUUCAGAGCACUUAGGCCCCUUAAUGUUUAUAGUUUUAUACCAUGUAAGGUUUGGUAUACUUUAUUCACUAUAAGCAAGGGCUCUGAUAACAAUCUGUCACACCCCGAAAACCGAAGGCGGAAACAUUUCCGGGGUUGACUCUACGUUGAGUAUCAAAUCCAAUGUACAUAGUAAGUAAAGGAAAACAACCAUUACAUUACAUAUAGAAAAGUUUUACAUUUGUUUCAAAAGCAAACUUAUACAAGUGAUACAUAGUUUAUAUGAACAACACAAAACGAGUCUUCUGAUAACUCCGUCUUCGUACAAAAGAGAUCGUCGGGUACCUGUCUAAUGCGAACCUGAGAAUACAAGCGGUUUCAAAAUCAGCAUAAAGCUGGUGAGUUCAUAAUAUGUUUGUUUUUCUGAAAAUGUUCGAGUUCCUUUAGCUUUCUGAAAAGUGGUUAUCCAAGAAAAUCCCAUAUUUUCUUAAAAGUUGGUUACCAAAUCCGAAAAGUAAUAUAAACGAUGUAUAAUGAAAACAUGAUUGUUCUUAUGAAUUGUAAAGUUUAGUUAUCUAACUUGUACACUCUUCUGGUUUCGUACUACGGUUACUCAGGAAAAUCCUAUAUUUUCCAAUAUGUGUGUGUGUGAACUGUUAUUGAUUCUGUGUGCACGAAAUGUUACCGGUUUCGAUUAUGUUCAAUGUUAUCCCCAGGAAAACCCCAUUUUUUCCUAAAUAUGUGUGUGUACUGUUACCGAUUCUGAUUAUGUUCAAUGUUAUCCCUAGGAAAGCCCCAUGUUUCCCUGAAUGUGUGUGUGUGUACUGAUAGUCCGAUUAUCCCUGAAUGUACAUUAGUUUUAUUACGUACAUAAAACUAAUAGAUAAGGAAAAAUGUUAAUAAUCUUGAUUGCGAGUCCUUAACCAUACUUAGACUAGAUAUGACUCGGGCCAGGGCUAAUAUCCUUUUUAUGACUUUCGUCACCCUUGAACCUUUUGGUUCGGCUGUAACUAGCAGCCAGGUGUGGGAUUGUCAGUCCCGUAUAGAUCUAUACACUCAAGUCACGUUCUCCCUCCUGGAGAUUCUGGUUAUAGGGUUAGUCCUCCACUCUCUCGUGCCAAGGAAGUGUUAUAGAGGAUGUGUCUCCAAUCUUUAAGAUUACUCUUUACUUCUCGUGCCUAAGGAAGUAGUAUCUAUGACUAACUAAGUUCUAAUUUGUCUGUUCUUUACACUCGAGACUCGGUGUAUUGUUAAGGACGUUGCAAUGUUCUAUGUUAUCUAAUGGUGACUGUCCUUUACACUCGAGCCUAGGUGUAAUAUUAAGGACAUUACGGUUGAUUUAUGUGUUCUGAUGGUGUCUGCCUUUUACACUCGAGCCUAGGUGUAUUGUUAAGGACAUACAAAUGUCUUAUGUUUUCUAAUGGUGUAUGUCUUUUACACUCGAACCUCAGUGUUUUAUUACAGACAUUACAAUGUUUUAUAAUCUCUAUCAAUAUAAGUGUGAACAAUCAAUUGUAAAAUAUACAACAUAACAGUAUAUAGUAAGAAUUGAAAAUCGGUUCGAAAAAACAACUCUGCAAGUUAAAACAGUUCGUUAGUAGGUUUUCAAUUCUUAAAAAAAAAGUACAAUUUUGAAACCAUUUAACUGAAAUCAUGAGUUUAAGUACAAGAUAUUCUUGUACUCUUGCUUUUAUUCCCCCAUGAAAACAUUAAAAAAAACCAUUGAAAAAGGGUAGGGGUAUGAACUCACCGGAUGCGGAAAUGUGUCGAAUGGAAUGCUAUACGUCGAAUCGAGGCUUGAUAACACGUGAGGUUCCUACGUAAUAUGAAAUGGCAUACAAAUAUAUCUAAUUAGAUUCACAAACUCUAAUUAGAUAUGAAGUUACACUCCAACGAACGAAAACACCUCAAAACGGGUGUUUGGAGUGACCUGGGUGACAUCUACGGACGUGUAUUGAUGCGAGGGACUGGGGAUUUGAGUUUACUCUUCAAGAGUAAACUCCUUAAUGAAGUUUGCGGCAAUAUACCCCUAUAUACAUGAGUUCACGGCCAUGAACUCAUGUUUGGGUGGUUUUGAGUGCUAAAAUGGCUUAAAUGGACAAGAGAAUUUUGGAAUGGAUUUUUCUAAUGCCAAGGAUUUAAUUGAAUCAACAUAUAAAUCACAUUUGAGAGUUCACGGCUGUAAACUUGGAGUUUACGGCCGUAAACUAUCCCAUGCUCAAACCAUAUUUAAUUUGUGAUGCUUUGGACAAUCACAUGUGAUUCUAGUUAAUUUUCCAAGGCUUCGGGUGAAUUUAGGGCAUCAAACAAUAUAUAAUUAGGAGUUUAUGGCCCUGGAGCAUGUUCGAUGGCCGUAGACUCUCAUAUGUGAGGUUUUGUUAUGUUUAAGGUCUCAAAACUAUUUUUAGAUGGUUCUAGGAUUUACCACAAGGCUAUUGGUUAAGUUAUAUGGCUUUCUAACAUGUUGAAAAUGAGUUUACUCUAAUGUUUGAGGGGUUUACGGCCAAGCACAUGCCUUGGCUGUAAACUCAUGCAAAUCCCUCAAAAUCCAUGUCUAAAGUGUUCUAAGUCCAUUUCAUGAAGUCAUAUAACCUUACCUAAGGUCUAGUUGUGGUUUUGAAGGGUUUAAGGGCUUAAAAACCCUCUAAAUAUGUGUUUACGGCCUAAGCACCUCCGUGGGCCAUAAACUCAUAUACAAGGUCCUAAUUCAUGCUUUAAUCUCGAAUUUGAAGGUCAAAUAUGAUACAUAAUGAGUUAAGGAAUGUACCUUGGUGAUUUGAAGCCUAAUUUUGAUGAUUUUGGACCUUGAAUCUAGUUUAAGGAGAGAGGUUGGAGAGAUGGUUGUCAAAUGAAGCAAAAGCUUCAAAUGAAAGCUUGGUUCACUUUAAAUAGUGUCCAAGUUCGGGACACGGUGGAAUUCUACCCGAUACCGGCGUUAGACGGGGCUUUUGGUCGCACCCGGCCAAAUUGCCGUAACCCGAUAUGGUUGAUUCUAGAAAUGUUUCGAUCGCUAAUACUGGGCAUUAGAAUGAGUUCUAAAGGUAUUAGGACACUCAUUAAGUCAUAAAAUAAAAUACACAUUAAUGACUUAAUUAAAUGACAGAAUCGAAAACGAAAUUUGGAAACGGCGAUCAGACUAUCAAAAUGAGUUACGAAAAGGGGUACAAGCAAUGAAACGAAAUUUCGGGUUGUUACAGCACCCUUAUUAGUCGAUUAGUGGAGCAUGUGUGGUUAACCGGCACACUAAUAUGGGACCAAUGAAGGAUGGCAAAGGGUAGCUUGAUGUUUAUCAUAGAUUAAUGGAGUGUGUGUGGUUAACCUACAUAUUGAUUAGGUGAUCUGUAGCAUCGAGAGUACCGAACUAAUUUACAUGGUUAUCCGCAACUUGUUUGUGAUCCUCGGCAUCCCAGUCACAAAUGAAGGGCACAAUCAAAAUUUAACAUGCCAUUAAAAAGUUGAAUGAAUCUCAAAACAUCUAGAAGUUUCAAUCCAUUUAAAAUUUAAAUUUCUUUUUCGUUUUUCAUGGUGCAAAUUGGUAAAUUAUCAUUUACCUACCUUCAAAUAUUCUGCAAUUUGGAUUACGACAUCCCCCUUACAAGUUUUAGAAUAUUGUGGUGGGUCCUAGCCUUAAUAUCUCAUUUGGGUGUUUUAUUAAGGACCCAAUCAACUAACUUGAAUUUUCUCCUGUUUUUUAGAUUUCUGAUUCUAACUAUGGUCUUUCCAAAUCCCAUGAAGCAAGAUUUCCACAUGAAGAUGAUAUUCCACGAUUUAAUAAAGGAAAAAGAGAUCAUUCUUCACUUCCUCCACCUCCUCCUAUUGUUCUCCUUAACCCACAAGUUCGAAAUCUUGCAAGUUCAAUCUCACUCAAGCUGUUUUGGUAAGUAAAUAUUAAGAAGGAAAUUCAGUAUGUGCACACAUCUUAGAGAUGAAGUCACACAUUGACAGGUUAAGAAUGUUAAGAGUCGUUAUCUGUGAGAAGGUGGAUUCUAACUGAGCUCUUCAAUCACUAAUUGACUCAUAUAGUGAGUUCGUAAGAGAGUAUUAUUUGAUAGACCACGACGUGACUCUCAUCGAUCACACCUAUUUGCUUGUUGUUGCUGAAUAAACAAUUAUUUGGCGCACUGGAGAAGCAAAGUUGAUUGGUGGAUCUGCCUUCCAAACCUCCAUGGACAUAGGCAAUCACAAUGAAAGGCAUUCCAUGGUCGAAAAGUUUGACGAUAAGAGAAAGACAAAGUAUGAGGUAGUUCCGUGUGUUGUUCCAAAAGAGUCAAUUUGCUUUUCUUGCCAUGGGAAUGGGCAUUGGAGACGAAGCUACCUUGUCUACCUAAGAGAUCUAAGAGAUGGGAGAGUCAAGACGUACGGUUGUACUUCAUGUAAAAUCCAUUAAAUAACUCUAUAAGUACCUAUUUUUGAUUCUUAAUACAUGACGUGAUAAGAUUGCAUUUGGUGUUUUUGUAGGAUCAAAGAAAAUAGAGGGAGCUUAAACGAAGAAGUGAGGCGAGUCCUGAUUGUGAAGAAAUGGAUUUCGAUCGCAUGAUUCGAUGAUCAGAAUCUUGGAGCUUCUACUUUUAGAGUUAUAAAAGUUUGCUUAGAAAUAUGUAAUAGCGUAGUUUUCAUUUGAUUUGCAUUGUAAGGACAAUUUUUUUCACCUUUUAUAAAUAAAAUUAUUUUUUUGUUUUGUCUUAUUUAUAUAUUUCCUUUCAAUGGCAUGAAUGAAAAUUGACGUUUGUGUAUUUCUAGUUUUAGUAAUGUUGAAAUUGAUGUGAUUCUUAGUUAUGUUAUUUGUAGCAAUGUCGAGAAUUUACCAUGUAGGAAAAGAUUCUUGUCACCCGAGUUUCAAUUAGACAGAAACUUUGAAUCAUACGACCUGUAUUGUAUGAUGAAUGAGAACCUUCAUAUUUUGAAAAUUAAGACUAAUUCCUUGACAAAGUGUCAAGUCAAGGACUAGGAUAACUAAUACGUAAUGAUGUGCAUUUGUCAAGUCCACCAUAAAGAACAAUAAAAUUAUUCUUCAUGAUUUACUAAUAGUCUAGUAAAUGUUGUUAUGCUUACAAGAUUAAUUUUGAUUUUGAAUAAUUGAAAAGUUUCAAUGUGUGGCAGAAUGAAUAAGAUAAAUCAAUUAGGUAGAAAGAUAAAAAAUUUCUCCAAUUUAAGAAGAAGGGAGAGUACUUUUCUAUCAUGUUCUAUGAUCAUCUUGUUGAUUAUGAAACCAUAUCAAAAUUUAUUCUCUGCGGACAUCUUAGUGCACUAAUAUGGCUUAGAAGAGGAAUUGGAAACUUUUGAAAUGGUUAAAUCAAAAGGAUGAGUCAUACUUCGUUCCAAAAUCAAGUCUUAGAGUCAUAGUCCUAGAUUGUGAAUUUAGUGACAAAUCUUAAGAAGUUCUAACACAAUCAUCAAAUGUUUUUUCUUACACUUGCACGUUUGAAAUUGGUUAAUUGUGAUCUUGUUGUAACGUCAUGAAAAUUCCAACAAAAUUUUUCAUUUUUAACUAUCAUAAAAACACAUGCCACAUUUAUCAAAACUCCAAAUACUAAACAAAAAAGUUUUCAAAACAUUUAUUCACAAUCCAGGAUCCAUAAACAUAACUCUAGCUCAGAUGUGUGUGUAUAAUCAAGCUGGUGUCUUCCCGCGAUCCUCGGAAGUACCUGAAAUACAUAACACAUAACAUGGUAAGCAUGAAUGCUUAGUGAGUUCCCCAAAAUACCAUGUACAAAUAAUUUGCCACUCAAGGCUAUAGCUCUUGUCAAUGUGUCUCAGUAGGACCCUCCAGUUCCAUAGCUCGUUGGACCCUUUGGUCCGGUCUGAUUGAGAACCCUCCGGCCUCAUAGUUCGUUGGACCCUCUGAUCUGGUCUAAGCAACAUAUAAUAUAACAUACAAUACAUAUCACACAAACAUGCAUAACUCAAGCAAGCACAUAAGACCCUCUGAUUACCCAAAGUUACCACUCUAGGUAAAGUAUAGUGAGCAAACUCACCCUGUAGCAAGUAGAAAUAGACACGCACCAGGUAAUCCAAAACUAGCCUUCACCUAACACAUUAGACAAGCAUCUCAAUUAAUAUCUCUCUUUGACUCCUUUAAACCUAAAGUCCUUCAUUCCCUUUAAAUCUCUCAUGAGGGGUAAAAGACCAUUUUACCCCUCCAUGGUCUCAAAUGCUCCUCAUUCACUCACUCACGAAAUCAACAAAAGUCAAUAUGAGUCAACAAUUCAAGUUGACCUGACUCGCUGAGUGCACCCAUGUGACUCACCUAGUCCACUUGUAUCCUCAGGGAUCUUCAUAGGUUUCACUUAGCUCGUCAAUUUAACCCCCAACAUGACAAGUUAUCACUGGGUCAAGGGUAUUGGGUCGGACCCGCUUUGACUCUUUGAGUAAUCCCAUAGACUCAGUGAGUUGACUCAAUCGGAUUCCUCAUUUGGUCACCUGAGGUCAGAUUAGUAACUCUAGCUCAUAGAUGUAGCCUCUAAAUAACCAAAUUAAAUGUCACGUAAAGGUCUGAUCUUGACGUCCAUGCAUGGUGUAUACUGCUCUAUAUGCCAUUAAAACUCCAUUAAUGCUUCCUAGCUACAAAACCACACGGUUUCUCAACCAUGGCUUCAUGUUUUUGGACUCUUUGGAGCUUACAAGGUCCAGAUCUAUAUUACAAACUCACAAAGGGGUUUGAUGCACCCAAAACCGCAUCAAGUUGUGAUACAAGCCCUAAAUCUCACAAUCAAGUGAUCUAAUCAAUCAACAAGGAAGACAAGAGCAUUUUGUUGGAAUAGUGUCUAAGCCCGUAACUAUAUUUGGUGUGUACUUGACCUGGUUGUGCAUGGUCCUUUUGGGUUGCCUUCUCCAAAGAAACUUGACAAGGUAACUUAAUGAGAAAGAUAAAAUUAUGGUUUAUUAAUAUAUUAUAAGAAUAAUACAUUAAAGGAGAAAUCAUAUUUAUUUAAUUAGUAUUGAUCAUAAAUUAAUUAGGAAUUAAUUUGGUGACCAAAAGAGAUUAAUUGAAUAAAGGGGUAUAAACUGUCAAAUGUAUGAUACUUGGGUUUUAGGUUAAGGAAACCUAAUGGGCUUAAGGGGGAAAGAAAUUAUGAUGGGUAUCCAUCAUAUUUUUGUCCAAGGCCUUAUUCAAGAAGGUUCCUUGGGCUGCUUGGUGGCUAAGCUAUCCAUUAGGGUUUAGACUGAAACCAUAGUAGCCUGUAAGUAUAAAUAUGACCCCUAGGGCAUUGAAUUCGGCUACCACUUGAUUCUAAGAGAAACCUAGGCUGAUUUCUAGCUUACCUCUCCCUCUCUCAUAUUGCAUUCUUGCUUGUGGGGUUUGUGAAGCAUUAGAGGAGUUGCAUUUGUGACCCUAAGCUCAAGAGAAUAAGAGAAGAAGAUCUAAGCCAAUAUUUGAAGAGGUAAACAUCUAGAUCUGAUUCUAUAUGUUGCUUUUGUUAUUUGUAUGCAAGAUUAGGGUUUGUAAGUCUUGGAAUCAAAGCAUGUUCAAUAGAGAAACCUAGAUCCAAGCAUUAGGGUUUGUAUGAGCACAUAGGAAUGUUUCUUAUGCAUAAAACCCAUCAGUGGUAUCAGAGCUUUGAUUGGUUUCAAUUGUAUGUGAUGCUUAACUAUUUUGUUUGCUAAAAAUCGAGUUUUUUGCCUCUGCCCGACACAAAUCGGCAAGUCAGUAUCUGGACUCAGCGAGUUGGCCCUACUCUGCGAGUCCAGGUCUGACUCGGUGAGUUUGUGCGCCAUACAUAGGGUAUUUCGGGAUUUAGCUGCUGUUUUUACUUGGACUUGAUGCUUAAAUUGUUUUAUGAAGUUAAAAUCCGAAUUUUAUCUUAAUUAAUUGAUUAUCCUUGCCAAAACAAUAGAUAAUUUCAAAUCUUUUAAAUAUUGGUUGUUUAUGUCAUAAAUAUGGAUUAUUUAAAGUUAUUUGGUAAUUAACUAAUGACUAAAAUAAGAUUAGGUCAAAUAUAGAUAAUUAUGUAAUUAAUUGUUUAAUUUGAAUUAUUUGUUAUUUGAUCCCUUAUGUUUUGAAAAGUUCAAGACUUGCCCUCAAGUUUUGAAAUUUGAACUUGUGAUUAAAAGUUUAAUUUUGAAUAAUUUAAAUUUCAAACCCUUAGAAUUUUACAUGUUUAAAAUUCAACCCUAUACUAUUAUAUAUUAUUACAAGCUUAAUUAAUAUAUAUAUAUAUAUAUAUAUAUAUGUGUGUGUGUGUGUGUGUGUGUAUAACUUAAAAUGUUAGUCGUACCGUUAGUAGGCCUCAUUCACGAAGCCGAUCUAUAAGGGGGGUAUAAGGUUAUGGUCUAUAAAAUGGCCGUUUAAUGGGUGCCCANACCUACCACUUGCUUGACUGGUGGCGGGUCGUUAGCCGAACGAGUAGGAUAGGGCAACCCUCUUCCCAUUAAAAGUAUAAUGUAAGAUACAAAGUAAUUACAUGUUUUUCCAAAUUCCCAAUCUUAGUUACUUUAGGAUAAAAUGUGAAAAUGAUGCUAAUCCAUGGAAUUACACUUCGUACCCUUUUCAAACGUUGAUGGAGCUUGUGUGGUUAACCGGCACAUCAAAUUGGGGAUGACAUUGGUAGCGAAGGGUGACUCGAUGUUUGUCAUAGAUCAAUAGAGCGUGUGUGGUUUGCGAUCAUGUUGAUUCGCAUGGUUAUUCACAAUUUGUUUGCGAUCCUCAUUAUCCCAGUCGCAAAUUUGAAAUGCAUAUCGAUAUUUAAACAUGCCAUUGAAAAGUUCAAUGAAUCUCAAAGAUCUAGGAGUUUUCAGUACAUUUAAAACCUAAAUUGCCUUUUCGUUUUUCAUGGUGAAGAUUAGUGAAUCGUCAUUCACUUACCUUCAACUUAUUUACUUUUAGAGUACGACAUCCCUUUCUAAGUUGUAAAUAAUGUUGUUGGAUCCUAGCCCUAAUUUCUCAUUUGGGUGUUUAAUUAGGGCUUCAUUUCUAAUCAAACUUUGUUCCUUUCCUUUUUCAGAUGUCUGCAAACAACAACAACAACAACAACAACAACGAUUAUGGGUCAUUCUCGUUGAUGAACUUGUGUCAUAAAGUGACAUUUGAUGGUUCAAACUUCAACGAGUGGAUGAGGUAUAUUCGCAUGAUCACAUGCUACGAGGACAAAGAAUAUGUCCUCGAUGAAAAGCUUGAGAAGAUCGUCCCAGAUGUUGCUACUCCUAAAGAGUUGGCCGCCUUCGAGGCCCAUGAGCGUGAUGCUAUGAAUGUUCACUGCAUCAUGUUGGCCACCAUGAACCUCGAACUCCAAAAGUCCUAUGAGGACAUGUAUCCGUAUGAAAUGCAUCAGGAUUUGUUGGACAGGUAUCACCAGAGCACAAGGCAAGAGCGGUAUGAGAUCAUUACUAACAUGAUCACCGCUAAAAUGGGGAGUGGAGAAUCCCUAACCUCUCAUUUACAGAAAAUGCAGAGGUAUGUUGAUCGUCUUCUCAAACUUAAUGUUAAGUUUGAUUAGGAUCUGGCUAUCAACAUAAUCCUUCAUUCCUUGCCCUCCUGCUACAACUAGUUUAGGAUGACCUACCACAUGAACAAAGAGGGGGUCUCCUUGUGCAAGCUCCAGGUCAGGUUAAGUAUUACCAAUUAUAGUUAUGGACUUAGACAUUAAUCCAACAGGUAUAUCUUUUGAGGAGAAUAUAUCUGGAGAUGAUGAUGUCUCAGUGUCUGAUUUGAGAAAGGAGAUUGGUGUAUUGAGCCAGAAGAAUAUCGAUCUUGAUAUCAAAGUUUCAGAUCUUCAAACCAAGAACGUCAAGCUCAAUACUCAUGUUGAUGAUCUUAUUAAAGAAAAUGCUCAGAAAACAAAGCAGAUCACCGAUCUUCAGACGCAUUUUGGUUUGUUGACCGCUAGUUAUUAUGAGUUGAAAAAGAAGCUGGAAGAUGAAUUUGGUGACAAAUUCAAAUCAUCUGUCAUUGAGCCUAGAAUUUAUCUUUCCAAUCAAGACACUCCUAUUAUUCCAACUCCUACUAGAACAAACAGAAUUGUCGAUCAUUUUGACAAUGAACCAGCACAGGCUCCAAAUGCCGUGGCGAAAAGCGUGCUAAACUAGACAAGUCUGUUGAGAAGGGUCAACUUUUGUUCAAGAAGAACUCGUAUCAAAAUGCUCCCGUGAAUCAACCAAGGAUCAACCUUACGGACCAUGGAGAAAAUCUCUUUAGAAACACUUAUGGUGAUAGGUAUGGGAUCAUCUCAUGGGGCUUCCAUGACCCUCUGAAAAUGUGGAUCGUAAGAAGGAAGAGUGGAAAUUCAAAAUUGUAUAAAGAUGCUCACGAUUUCAUUUCAUGGACCAGGGUUGAUCUUACGGAAUUGUCUAAAGGCCCGUUUUCAAAUCCAACAAAUUAACCCAAGGCGACACAAUUAAGGUUGUUUUUAGAAGGUCAAGUGGCAAAGGGCUUUCCCUCUAUGAAGACAUCAUCGUCUAUCAUCAAGAUUUACCCCAAUGUCAUAGCUCUCAAAACCAAUCAGCCUUUUCGGUCUGUGAUGAGCCCCGCAACAAAUCAAGUAAAGCAGAUUCCUAUCCUUCAGAACCAUCCAGAUGGAUCUCUACAAUAUAUGGAGUACUGGGUGUUUGAUGAAACCACAGCUGAUACUGUCAUCAAACUCAAGCAUGGGUGUAUUCGUCUUUAUCACAAGAGGGAUCUGCUACAUUUUGGAAGGAGGGAUAUCCAUGAGCUUUCUAUUCAUCAGAUCAAGGUGGCUAAAGAUAUUUUAGGCCUGCUGCUUAGGAUUACACUUCGAUGGUGGCAUUCAUUAUUGAGAAAGAAAUAUGGAAUGGAGCUAUGGGCAGUCAGAUGUGCUGGUGGUCGAUAAAGACAGAUUCAUGCUAGCCCCAAACCAAGGGAGAGACUGAAGGGCCAAUAUAUUUAGUUUGGGCUAGGUAUUAAUGCAUGGUGUGUUUAGGAUUGUUAUUAAUGUGUUUUGGACAUAUUUUGUGUUUGUUUGAGUUUUCGGUCUACGUAGAUUUUUAGUCAGGCUUUGACCGAAAACCUGUUUUCAGUCUGAUGUGUGUUACUAUAUAGUGUUGUUAGGUUGUUAGAGGCAGGAGGUUUUUUUUCCAGUAGGUUAUUGGUCAAUCCAAGUUGCAUCCGACAUUUCAUAGUGGAAUUGUAUGCUAGCUUGGUUGUUUAAUCUUCUUCUUCUUCAUUUCUAUUGUAGUUGAUAGAUCAUGAAAUAAAUCCCACAUAUUUGGGACCUAACAAUGUCCCUAAAGCACAACACAAAAUAUUUAGAGACUCAACCGAGAAUACUCACACUCGAUCAUUCGCCCCUGCUUGUUCCUUAUCACCCUAGGAAUUCUUACUUGGAUUGAUCACCGACCCAGUGUUUCUAGUAGUACGAGCCCAAUACUACCUUCCACACCGCAUUUGUAUUCAUCCCAAUUCACCCUCCUAGGAUUCUAGUUCACAUGUACCCUAUAUCUUGUCAAACAUCGACUCACCUCUGCUACAUACUCGCACUCAAGCAAACCAUAGAAAACAAAAUCCCUAGGCUAAGGCAUCACAAAUCAGGCCACCCUAGUCCUAAAUUAUGAAAUACUUAGCCUACUCUCUAGCAUGCAUAACAUAUCUCAUGACAUCUCGUAUCACAUGAAGUAAGGGUAUUUUCGGAAAUCACCAUUCGGGCGCUGGCUGAUUGUACACACUGCUCUUUUCCUUUUUCUCUUAAAAUCUGUUACUUAUUUUCAGAAAAAUCGUUUCUUUGCGAAAACUUUUCUGAAAUAGUUAGUUCGAGUCCAAACAUACCUGAAGGUGUAUUCGAAUCCCUCAAACCAAGGCUCCGAUACCAACUUGUAACAUCAUAAAACCUCCAACCAAAAUUUUCAUUUUUAAUUAUCAUAAAAACACAUGUAACAUUUAUCAAAACUCCAAAUACUAAACAACAAAGUUUUCAAAACAUUUAUUCACAAUCCAGGAUCCAUAAACAUAACUCCAGCUCAGCUGUGUGUGUACAAUCAAGCCGGUGCCUUCCCACAAUCCUCAGAAGUACCUGAAACACAUAACACAUAACACGGUAAGCACGAAUGUUUAGUGAGUUCCUUAAAAUACCACCUACAAAUAAUUAUGCACUCGAGGCUAUAGCUCUGGAAAAACCUCUGGUUAAUAUGUUUUAGUGGGACCCUCCAGUCCCAGAGCUCGUUGGAUCCUCUGGUCUGGUCUGAUUAACUACCCUCCAGCCUCAUAGUUCAUUGGACCCUCCGGUCUGGUCUAAGCAACACAUAAUAUAGCAAACAAUACAUAUCACACAAACAUGCAUAACUCAAGCAAGCAGAUAAGACCCUCUGGUCACACAUAGUUACCACUCUAGGUAAUGUAUUGUGAGAAGACUCACCUCGUAGCUAGUAGAAAUAGACACAUGCUGGGUAAUCCUAAACUAGCCAUCGCCUAACACAUUAGACAAGCAUCUCAAUCAAUAUCUCUCAUUGACACCUUUACACCUAAAGUCCUUUAUUCCCUUUCACCCCCUCGGGAUGGCUAAAAGACCAUUUUACCCUUACAUGGCCCUAAAAGCUCCUCAUUGACCCACUGACGAAGUCAACAGAAGUCAAUAUGAGUCAAAAAUAAAAGUUGACCUGACUCGCCGAGUGCUCCAAUGUGAAUCACCGAGUCCAGUCGUAUACUUAGAGUUCUUCCUAGGGUUCACUCAGCUCGUCUAGUUGAUCCCCAACUCGACGAGAUAUUACUGGGUCAAGGGUACUAGGUCAGACCCGCUCCGACUCGUUUAGUCAUCCCAUAGACUCGGCGAGUUGACUCAAUCAGAUUCUUCAUUUGGUCACCUGAGGUCAGAUCUGUAACUCUAGCUCAUAGAUCUAGCCUCCUAAUACCUAAAAGUCAUGUAAAGGUCUGAUCUCUAUGUCCAUACAUGGUAUAUAUUGCUCUAUAUGCCAUUAAAACUUCAUUUAUGUUUCCAAAUGUAGCACCUGGUUCUUGGUACGUAAAAGUUUAUCUAUGUAUUUUGCAUUUUGGCCUUGGACACGGCGAGUUGUUGGCCCGACUCGCUGAGUAGAGACGGGUUUAGGAGCACGCUUAAGUUGGCGACUUGACGAGUCCCCACUGUCUGAUGAAAGCCUAAAUUUCAAGGGUUUGCACCCUAUUUAAACCAACCUUAUGCACCCCAACCUCGCCCCCUUCACCCUCAGAGCUCCCAACAUCGUCCAAACCCUUAUUCCUUGAGAGAUUGAAGUGUUUUGGUGUGUUUCUUAAAGAUUUUGAGAGAAGAGAAGAGUAUAUCAAGAAGAGAAGAAGGAGGCCAGAUAUCUUGGUGUUAUUUCAAGUGAUUCCCUUGAGGUAUAACUCAGUUUCCCUCUGUUUUCAUGCUUGUAGAACUUUAUAGCUCCAUUAAAGUCCUUCUUGAACAUUUCCAAGCCUGAUUAUGAAUUAGGGUUUGUAAUAAGUUGAUUAACCCUUAGAUCUAGGCAUGAUUGAGCUCCAGGAGCUCAGAUCUACUGCCUUUAUGGAGCCAUAUUGCAUGAAAGCCCUAGAUCUACUCUUUUAGUGCAUUUUGGGCCCUAAAAUCUUCAUUGGUAUUUAUUUACAUGUAAAUUUGGAAACUUUACGUGUUAACCAGGACCUAGAAACCUAGAUCUAUGUAUGGCAUGAGCUAGAUCCAAGCAAAAUCUAAUAUUUAGUGUUUGCAUGCGAUAGACUUGGCGAGUCGUUCAUCGAACUCGACGUGUCGAGUCGUGAGUCCCCGAGUUUCCCCUUUUGUGUUUGCGGAGUGGAGUAGUGAGUCAUGGGGUGUGACUCAGUGAGUCGGAAGCCAGACUCACCCAUGAAAGAACUCGGCAAGUCAAUGCCCUGACUCGGCGUGUCCAAGGCAAUCUUCUUGCCUCAAGAACAGACUCGGCGAUUUGUUUAUACAACUCUGCGAGUCUCAGCAUAGCAUGUUCUUCGGAUGAAGAUGAACUCGGCGAGUUGUUCAUACAACUCGGCGAGUAGGAUGAAGGACUAUUGGACCUUGGAUUAAAAGGAAAACACGUCGAGUCAACGCCUAACUCGACGAGUAGAGACGGGGUUAUGGUCAGACAAAAGGAUAGGGACUCGGCGAGUUGGCAGGCCAACUCGCCAAGUCGGGUCAACUUGAAGUUGACUUUGACUUUGACUCUUGGCUCGGUUAGGGGUAAAUGGUCAUUUUACCCUGAGGACGGCUAGCAGUAUUUGACUGGGUGUUUUGUGGGGAUUUUAGCUGGAGGACUUCCGAGACAGCAGCAGCAGAAGACAGUCAAUUCCCACACAGAUCAGCAACUACUUUGAGGUGAGUUACCUUCCAGUAGUGGUGGCUCUACGGCCACAAUUCUGGCCCACCAGUGGGAGUUGUACGUUAGAUGAUUGUCUAUGUGAUAUCAUCUAGGUUUGCUACUACCUGAUAUGUUACAUGCUAGCAUGGUAUGUUGUAUGUGAUAGUAGUAGAGUUUGGUUGUUAGGACCGAAGGGUAGUGAGACACCCCAGAUACGUCUGACAGUAUGUGAUGAUAUGUUUAUAUGCUGGCAUGUUAUGUUAUAUGUGAUAGUGGUAGUAGGAGAGGAAUAGUCCCCAUGUUUGGUCGUUAGGACCGAAGGGUAGAUCGGACACCCCAGAUAUGUCUAAUAAUAUGUUAUGUUAAGAUAUAUGUGAUAGUAGUGGUAGGGGAUGAAAUAGUCCCCGAGGACCGGUUGUUAGGACCGAUGGGUAGUCAGCACCCCAGAAUGGCUUGACAUGGGUAGUCAGCACCCUAGAACGGGUCGACACGGGUAGGUCGGCACCCUAGAAUGGCCAUACCGGGUAGGUCGGGCACCCCAGAAUUGCCCGGCAGUGUGGAUGAUAUGUGAUUGUAUGGUUUGUAGUAAGAUGGGGGAACUCAGUAAGCUUCGUGCUUACUGUUUUCAGUUUUGGUUUCAGGUACCUCUUCUUUGAAAGGGAAUGAGCUGGCACUGUAGCGGUACAUCACACACACACUUUGUAUUCUGCACUAUGGGAUCCUCCUGGGGUUUUGUACUCUGAUAGUAUUAUGUUUUAUGCAAUGGUUUCUAGACAAGCAACAUCUUUUAUGAAAUGACAUUAUCCGUGAAUGUUUUAUUUCUAAUGUAUUGCAAGUUGGUAUCAGAGCCCUGGUUUGAGGGAUUCGGACACGCCUUCGGGGGUGUCUGAACUCAAAUCAAGUGAUUUAAAAGACUUUAAAAAAGAAAAUAUUUUUCCGAAAAGCUAAGUAAAGAGUUUUAAGAAGGAACGAAGUGUGUGAUGUGCGCGACCGGCCAAGCUCAAGUAAGCAUUCCCCAAAGUACCCAUACCAACUUAUGUUAUGUUUAUCAGUUUCAGUAGAACAACAUGCUAGAAUAGGACUAAGGAUCUAGGAAUGAUGCCUUAUGUGCCUGCCUUAUGUGCUUCAGUGUAUGAAAAUUGCAUCCUACCAUUGAGUCGACAUCAGUAGGAUAGCCUGUUACGGUUAUGCCUGAUAGUAUGAGUUUAGCAUUGUAUGCUAGUACAACAUUCCUCUAUGAGGACGGAUUUUCCUAAGAUUGUUUAUUGUGUCUGAAUGCUGCUUGCUUUGUGCUUCGUGGGGACUCUAAGUGAUGGGAGUUAGACAUUAGAUGAAUACGUCACGUCACAUGUGAUCAGGGUUGGAUAAUCUUAGAGUGCUGGAUUUGGCCUUACUGUGCGGCUUUUGUCUGAGUCUAACCAUGUAGAGCCGAGUCUGUUACUUGAAGGUUUAUCUGAGCCUCACCACAUGUGAUGGUAUUCAGGUAAUGAAUAAUUGGCAUUAGAAGGAGGCCUUCAGCAGCUGAGGACCGGGUAGGGUGGAGUUAGAGAUUUCCAAGGGAAAGCCUAGGAUGAGUAUAGCAGUGAUCAGCGGUAGUGAAAGGGACCUGGUGGAGUCAAGGCAGUCCUUGGAAAGGGUACGGAUAGAUGUGGAAGGAAGUAUGGGCACGUACUACUGAAAGUAGAGGAUCCGUAUCCGAACUAAGGAAGGCCAAGAUAAGACCAGGGAACUUGUUGUAAGUGUGAUCCCUCCAGAGGUGUCAGUAUCACUAACAAUUAUUAUUUUUGUAUUUCAGAAUGGUGGUACUACGCUUGAGGCCAGAAGUUGGCAGUUUAGGAGAUGGAUCGGGUUCGGGAUCAGGUUCCGAGCCAGUAGAUGAGGGGCUACACGAGUUGAUCACGUCAGAGAUCACCAGAGGCAUCCUUGAGUCGACCACCAUUAUCUUCGGGUCAAUUAAGGAAGGGAUAUUGGAGUUGAUGGAGGAUCGCCUCAGGGCAUUCAGGAGCGACAUGACAUCUGGCCAGUCGGGAUCUCGCACACUGUCCUUCAAGGACUUCCGGGACAGUGGUGCGCCGGAUUUUCUCGGGUCGAAGCACCCUAUAGCUGCCAGGCGAUGGAUUGCAGACAUUGAGUCUACAUAGAGGAUUAGCUUCUUCCCUGAGGGGUCGAAGGUGAGGUUUGCAGCAGGGUGCUUACGAGAUUGAGCUAGGGAUUUGUGGGAGUCCGUGGGUGACUCGUUGGGAGCCUCGGCUGUCAAGACUAUGACUUGGUCGGACUUCGCGACCAGGUUCAGGAUAGAGUUUGUGCCGACUGUCGAGCUUCAGCAGCUGUCCAGAGAGUUCUUGGAUAUGAGACAGACGACGGAGACUGUAGCGGAGAUCACCGCCAAGUUCCGGGAGAGGGCGUUGUUGGUGCCGCAGUACACGCAUGAUGAGGAUAUCAGGAGGAACCGCUAUCAUGACAUGCUACGAGCUGAUAUUCGGAAGCAUGUCAGUUUUUCAGCUUGCCCUACCCUGGACUCGAUGAUUGCCAGGGCAAGGGAGAGGGAAAUUGAUCUGGAGCACAUCCGAAACAAGAAGGCAGAGGCGGGGCAGGCAGGAGGGGCUUCGGGGAAGAAGCCCAAGGGACCAGGUGGUAGGCUGAAAGGCCCGUCAGGACCGAGCCACUGCAAGAAAUGUGACAGGCCUCUUGAGGGGGCACGUAGGCUGAGAUCGUCGGGCUGCUAUAAGUGUGGCAACACGGGGCACUUCAGCAGGGAUUGUACCGCCCCUGCACCCGUGAUUCAGACAUCAGAGUUGCUGUGUUUCCACUACAACCAGAGGGGCCACAAGAAGGCCAAUUGCCCCCAGUUGACAGCUUCAGCGCCGACAAAGGCGCCAGCUCCAGUUACCCUUCGGAUUACAGAUGGCCGGCAAGUCAAGGCAGAGGCUCCAGUGGUGAGGAUCCGGGCAUUUCAGCUAACUACCGAAGAGGCUCGCGCCGCACCCGAUGUGGUGACGGGUAUGAUUCUUUCCCUCUAUCUUAUUUUUAUGAUGUUAUGAUAUUGAUCUGUGCUAUGUGUAUAUGCAUUAGGAUCGUUCCAUGUGAACGGAAUUCCAGUUCAGGUAUUGUUUGACUCGGGUGCCACCCGAUCAUUUGUUUCCCUUGCGCUUAGCAAGAGGUUUACUAAGUCUUCGGGCAUGUUGGAUUGCCCUUUAGAGGUAGAGAUCGUCGAUGAUCGAUCGGUGCGAGCGUCUGCAGUAUUCAGGGAUUGUGUCCUAAGGUUAUGUGAGGAGCGCUAUUUGGUGGAUUUAGUUCCCAUCCCUUUGCGGGGGAACAAGGUGAUUAUAGGCAUGGAUUGGUUGAGCCCUAAUGGGGCGGUGACAGAUUGCGCACAACAGUUUGUGCGGAUCAGGACCCCAAGUGGGGGAGAGUUGGUGAUCCACGGUGAGAGGCCAUAGCAUGGACCCACAGUAUGUUCAGCAGCGAGAGCUAGGUGCUACCUUCAGCAGGGUUGUGCGGGAUAUGUCGUGUACGUUAUGGAUACCCGGGAUGCGGGUAAGUCAACGGUGAGUGAGGCUCCAGUGGUGCGAGAUUACGUUGAUGUGUUCCCGGAGGAGCUUCUUGGAAUACCUUCGGAGCGUCAGGUAGAGUUCAGGAUCGACCUAGUUCUUGGUGCGGCUCCGAUAGCCAAGGCACCCUAUCGGUUGGCUCCUCCCGAGAUGCAGGAGUUGUCUAUGCAGCUGCAGGAGCUGCUAGACAAGGGAUUUAUUCGACCGAGUAGUUCACCCUGGGGACCCUCAAUCCUAUUUUUGAAGAAGAAGGACGGGUCGCAUCGGAUGUGUAUAGAACACUGGGAGCUGAAUAAGGUAACGGUGAAGAACCAUUACACACUCCCGACGAUUAAUGAUCUCUUUGACCAGUUACAGAGAGCAUCUAUUGGGUUUUGAGCAUUCUAACACUCCUAAGUGUCCAUGCAACCCUAAAUACCUUGGAUCUAUGUUCUCUCUAUUAUACAUGCAAAUAAGAACUUCCAAGGUAUUAUCCUAAUCUAGCAUACAAAACAAUGAGUGUAACAAGAUAGAAUACAUAGCACUUUGAUGUAGAAAGUCUUCAUGAAGCUUGAGUUCCUAGUGCCCCAAGUGUGACACCUCAAAUGGUUCACACAACACCAAAUACACUUGGAAUAACUUGAGAGAAAUCUACACUUCAUGAAAUCGGCUAGCCCUUUCUUACUCUCUCUAGUGUGAUCCUAGUCACCGAUUUUGUCAAGAAUAAGAUCUUUAUAUAGUGUUACAAUUAGGGUAAGCCCUAAUUGUCAUGACUUUCGAAUUCCUUGGAUCCAUGGGUUCAAAUACACCAUUGAGCAUCCAUGGACCAUCCUAUGUGUUUUAGCCCAACUUGAUUAUCCAUGGAGCAUUAGCCCACUAUACAAAUAUGGAUGAUUUACACAAUCAACCCAUAUAUUUAAUUAGUCUUCUUUUGAUCACUUAAUUAAUCCUAGAUUAAUUCUUGAUCAAUACUAAUUAAAUAAUCUUAUUAUUCUUAUUAUUAAUAUACUAGAACUUAUAAUAUAUUAAUAACCAUAAGUGUCCUAUUAAUGUACUAUCACCGAGUUACCAAAUGACUUAAUUAAUCCUAGACACGUUUUAUAGCACCGAGUUACCAAAUGCAUUUCUAUGCAACCAAAGUACUAUCAACUCAUAGUAACAACUCAUAUCUCUAGGUUUGAAGAAUAUAAGAUAUUAUCGUCUCAUGAUCACUCGUGAUAAAAUCCAUGAAGUGAUUCCAAUGAGCGCGGGUUGAAUCCAAUACUCAGANCGAUAUCUACUACAUAAUGUACUCCAAACAGAGCUUUUGAAUACUUCAUUUUUCAAUGGUAUUCUAAUUACUUUUUCAAAGAGGUUACAAGACUUCAUUUUUAAUGACAUGAAAUGAAGGGUUGUUACACAUACGACCGACUGUGGAUGGUUUGAAUAACUUAGUCAUUCCGGAAGAAUAACCUAGUUUAUUCUGGAAGUCAAAACAUGCAAAAUGAAACACAAGAAUAAUUGAAUCCAAUAUGGUAUCAAAACCUAUGAACAUAAAUAAAACACCUUUUAUUUAUCACCAUAUGAUUACACAUUAUUCAUUGUAUACUGUUUUAGCUAUCAACUUUAUUCUUCAAUUUAAAACAGUAGUUGUCUCAUGCUCCAAGCAUGUACACAAUGUUUUCUAAACACUAGUCAUGCCAUACACCAAGUAUGCAUACUAUGUUUGUCUAUGAUCUUUACUUUGUGAACUAGAUCAAUUGAACAUAACUUCAAUGAUUCUCUUUUCACACUCCCAAAUCCUUACUGCAAAUGCAAGAAUUCCAAAUUCAUGCCAUUUACUGAAAUCUGUUAGAUUCUAAACUUAUAUGCAUUGAUCCUCUUGUAAUGAUUAUGCACAAAGUUAGAAAGACUUGAAAACUACCAUUAUAGAGCAUUGCAAACAAGAUCGGCUCCUUGGAAACAUCGUUCUUGCAUUAAGUCUCCUAAUCUUACACAGACUGAAUAAUUUCUAACUUUGAAACAUUUCCAGAUUCCAUUUUGACAAUCACUUCUGAACAAGAGUUGCCUCCUUACAGAUUAUGUCAAUAUGGUCCUUCCAGAAUUAUCACUAUACUUCCAACUGUCCUUGAGCAACCAAUCUUUGGUAAACCUUAGAUUGUCCUCGACAAUUGUUUAAUCCUUUUAGUCAUAUCCAGUUCUAAACCUUUUCCCUUCUUAAUGCCCCAGGCAUUUGGAAAAUUUUAGAACGGAUGAAUAUAGCACAUGUAAUCGAUCCUAUAUCCGAAGCAUAUGGGACACGAUUCAUGAUGUCUNAAGACUGAACCAGACUUUUGCUAUAACAUUUCCAUUUCUAUUUUCCAAGUUCUCUAAAUUCAGAUUAUGAAAAGGGAUGUCGUAAUCAUAAUCGAAUUUUAGNGUACAUACCUCUUUGAUGUAGAAAGUCUUCAUGAAGCUUGACUGCCUAGUGCCCCAAGUCUGAUUACCUCAAAUGGUUCACACAACACCAAAUACACUUGGAAUAUCUUGAGAGAACUCUACACUUCAUGAAAUCGGCUAGCCCUUCCCUUUUCUCUCUAGUGGCCGAUUUUGAUCAAGAAUAAGAUGCAUAUAUAUUUAGGGUUACACCAUGUAAACCCUAAUUAACAUGGCCUUUCAUUUCCAUGAUCCAUGGGUACAAAUACACCAUGGAGCAUCAUAUGGGUUUUAGCCCAACUAGAUAAUCCAUGGAGCAUUAACCCACUAUAUAAGUAUGGAUGAUUUACACAAUCAACCCAUAUAUUUAAUUAGUCUUCUUUUGAUCACUUAAUUAAUCCUAGAUUAAUUCUUGAUCAAUACUAAUUAAAUAAUCUUAUUAUUCUUAUUAUUAAUAUACUAGAACUUAUAAUAUAAUUGUAACCAUAAGUGUCUUAUUCCUCUCACUAUAGUCUAUCAAAUGCAUGAUGCCAUGCAACCCAAAUGGACCAUGUCGGGUCGGGUCAAGUCAUACCAACUAUAAUUAUGGACUUAGACAUUAAUUCAAUAGUCUCCCACUUGGAUAAGUCAAAAACUAUUAUUGCGUAUGACUUUAGGAACCGACUGGCAAUCGUAGCUCUUAAAAGCUUCUGUCGAACUCUGACCUUGUAGAUGAACUCUGACCUUUGUCAAUGACUUGUCCAUUAGAUAAGGGAUCAUAUAUUCCUCCAUUGUAGAUAUCAUGUGGCCUGAGACAUGGAUUAUAAUCAUUCACUCUGUCCAUUUGUUGUUUCCCGAUUUCCGAUUUAUGACGACUGACUAAUUGAACAAAUCAAAUCAGUCCUGGCCCGGCCGAGCACUUCCAUUUGUCAUCAUCAAAUCAUCGAGGGGCCCACAGAUAUCGCUUUUAUCCCGAAGGUAAAAGGAAUGGAUAAACUUCGACUCAUAUGGCUUGUUCUACUACUUGUUGAAUCAUACACAAAGGCACGUUUUAUANNNNNNNNNNNNNNNNNNNNNNNNNNNNNNNNNNNNNNNNNNNNNNNNNNNNNNNNNNNNNNNNNNNNNNNNNNNNNNNNNNNNNNNNNNNNNNNNNNNNNNNNNNNNNNNNNNNNNNNNNNNNNNNNNNNNNNNNNNNNNNNNNNNNNNNNNNNNNNNNNNNNNNNNNNNNNNNNNNNNNNNNNNNNNNNNNNNNNNNNCAAAAAGAAAUGGUUUUGAUAUACUUAAUUCCCUAUAAAUAAAGCUCUGAUACCAAUCUGUCACACCCCCAAACCAGAACGGCGGAAACGUUCGGGGGCGGAGGACGUCAUAUUCAGUAUCAUAACAGUUCAUAGAAAGGAAAGUACACACCACCAUACAUAAAUAAGGUUUUUAAAAGUGUUUACAUAAUGGUAUUCAUUACAUGUUCAAAAGAUAAAUACAUAAACAUCUUUUGAAAAGAAAUAAUUAACGCCAAAGCAUAAACCAUAAGUUUUUAGAAUGUAUAAAACGGCUUAGCAACAAAAGAUCUUUGCAAAUCACUAAAUACUUUGUAUAAGUCUAGUGCAUGCAAAGUAUGACAAGAGUUUUCCAUAGUAGUAAUGAAUUCCAAGUGAUUCAUUUGAUAAAAACGAGUGAAGUGAAACUUUAUAAAAUACACGAUAAUAACCGUAUGUUUAUUUGUAUUCCCCCCUAAAAGAGUAUAAAAAGCAUUUAAAAUGUAUUUAAAGUGUGUUUAUAGGGGUAUGAACUCACUUGAUAGAUUGAAGAAGGUGUGACGAAAACCUAGCAGAACUUUGGCUUGAAAAAGCGGAUAUUCUUGGGAUUCUCGGGAAUCUCGGGAGUACAAACGACCUUCGGAACUUGAGCUAAGCGACCAGGGCUUCGGGUUUGCACGGGAACGGAAAACGAGGCAAAACGCAAGAAAAACGAGAGCAAAUGAGCAAGUUUUCCAGGAACCCUCGCAUCCCUUUUAUAGGGGCUGAGAGGCCUCGGUACGCGAGGCGUACGGGCGUACGCGGGGCGUACCCGUGCGUCAUGCAUGACCGAGUCCUCGACUGCCCCGGAGUUCGGAUGGGACGGGGCGUAGCUCGCAUAGGGGGCGACGUGGACGAACCGGGGCCNNNNNNNNNNNNNNNNNNNNNNNNNNNNNNNNNNNNNNNNNNNNNNNNNNNNNNNNNNNNNNNNNNNNNNNNNNNNNNNNNNNNNNNNNNNNNNNNNNNNNNNNNNNNNNNNNNNNNNNNNNNNNNNNNNNNNNNNNNNNNNNNNNNNNNNNNNNNNNNNNNNNNNNNNNNNNNNNNNNNNNNNNNNNNNNNNNNNNNNNNNNNNNNNNNNNNNNNNNNNNNNNNNNNNNNNNNNNNNNNNNNNNNNNNNNNNNNNNNNNNNNNNNNNNNNNNNNNNNNNNNNNNNNNNNNNNNNNNNNNNNNNNNNNNNNNNNNNNNNNNNNNNNNNNNNNNNNNNNNNNNNNNNNNNNNNNNNNNNNNNNNNNNNNNNNNNNNNNNNNNNNNNNNNNNNNNNNNNNNNNNNNNNNNNNNNNNNNNNNNNNNNNNNNNNNNNNNNNNNNNNNNNNNNNNNNNNNNNNNNNNNNNNNNNNNNNNNNNNNNNNNNNNNNNNNNNNNNNNNNNNNNNNNNNNNNNNNNNNNNNNNNNNNNNNNNNNNNNNNNNNNNNNNNNNNNNNNNNNNNNNNNNNNNNNNNNNNCAGUGCACAAGAAUGUGUACUCGAUCCCUUAGUCCUUCACUUGACUCACACAUCCAUGUGAACAAGUAAUUAGUCUUAAUUUUCCAAUACUUGAAAGUUCUCAUUCAUCAUGCUAUACAACUUGCAUGAUUCCAAGUUCCGGUCCAAUUGAAACUUGGGUGAUGAGAAUCUUUCCUUAUUUGGUAAAUUUAGACAUUACCACAAAUGAAAGAAUCAAUUUCAUAUUUCCACUCUUGCUAUUAAUGGAAUCAUAUAAGCAACAAUUUUUCUUCAAAUGCCAUUGUAAGGAUAUUUUAAAAUAAAUAAAAUAAAAAAUUUUCUUUUAUUUUAAAACUUUGCGGAAAAACAUAUACUUACAAUCCAUAUGAAAAUUUGUUGUUAUCUUUUCCUAAGCAAUAUCUCAUAACUCCUAAGAAGUAGCUCAAGAAUCCGAUCUUCAAACAAUGCGAUAGAAAUCCAUCUACGCGAUCAGAUUCAACAUAUUCUUUCUUUAAGUUUCUUCACUUUUCUUUGAUUCUUAAAACAUCGCCAUGUGACCCAGUCACGCCAUGUAUCAAGAAUCUCAUAAUAGAAACUUAGCAGAGUUAGAUAGUGGACUUUACCUGAAGUAGAGUCAAACUUAUUGACUUUAACAUCCUUAGGUCACUUCCAUUGGCAAUAUAAACAUAUGGACCCUUUAAUAAUGGUACACGGGACUAUCACAGACUUAGCUUUUUCUCUUUACCAUUUGGUAAACCGAGUUGAUUAUGGCCGAUCCCUUUCCAUUGGGAAGAGAAUUUUUUCUGGAUUUCCUGUGUCACUAUUGUCAAUGUCCAUCAAGUUUUAAGGAAGCUGAUCUUAACAAAUAGAUAAGAUCAUUAAGGGUCUUGUCAUAGUCUGUUUCAUAGGUGUCCCAAAGGAACUCACUAUGUGACUUAGAAAGUGAUUGAAUCACCAACUUUCUAAAGACUUUGACACCCAACUCUCCGGGUUUGUCAAAAUGUGACUACAUCUCCAAGAUGUGACCACACCUUGCCUUGCCAAUAGGGCUUGAGUGACCUUAAACUUUUCAAGAACUUGUGGGUUGGGGAGAAUAAUUGGAGGAGGUGAAAGAAGUAUGAUUUCCAUGGGAAUUCAUCAUUUUGAUUUAGGAAAGCUUGUUUCAAGAGAUUUGGGAAGAUCAUAAAUGUCUAAACCAGACAUGUUUUUGGGAGAUAUUCAAGAUAGUUGAUCUUAAUUCCUUAAUAUGACACCCAAUAUGAAAUAUUAAGGCUAGGACCCAACAAACUAUUUUAUAACUUAGAAGAGGUAUGCCGUAAUCAAGCUAUAAAAUCGUUUGAAAGUAGGUGAGUGACGAUUCACCAAUUUCCACCAAGAUAAACGAAAUGUAUUAUUAGGUUUUAACUGGUUUUGAAACUGUUAGAUCUUUUUAGAUUCAUUGAACUGUUCAAUGACAUGUUUCAAUCUCGAGUUGCCCUUCAGGUUUUGUGACUGGGAUGCCGAGGAUCACAAAACAAGGUGUGAAGUAACCAUGCAAAUCACUUGGUACCCUUAAUAAAUUACCCCUCAAUCGAUGUGCCGGUUAACCACACACGCUCCAUCGAUACUAUGAUAA
rnacentral:lncRNA from 1 species